rnacentral:lncRNA from 1 species
CACAUCCCGUAAAUAUAUAUACAUAGCUUGAGUUCUAGAUUAUUCAGGCUCCCACCUUCUAGGAGUUGAGAGUGAAAGCCAUCCACCUAAGGUUUCGCUUGCUGGGUCUGGUCUUUUGGGGGCUCUGCUGUCUUGUUCCUAGGUCCGACAAAUGCCUGGAUCAAGCAUGGAGGCUCAGGUUUCCUGUUUACCAACUUAACCAACAGCUGGAUCAAGCACCGCAAAAUUAAAGGCGCAGCAGCUAUGAUCAAGGCGAGUUGAAAUUUGUCUCCAUCCCGGGUAACAGCAAAGAUUGCAGAUCCAUAAGUUAUAAUCAUUGAAACGCAGGCAACCCUUACUUCAAACUUGAAAGGAAAAUUAUGCGUGAGAGACAUAAUGACAAGUACCGCUGCUGAAAAGGCUAGGGUGUUUGAUGUCAAGAAAACGUAGUAGGCUGAUGAGUCAGAUGCAAAGAUAGCAGUGCCUGGUAUACGGUCCUUGGUAUCCUGCCAUACAGCGACAGGGGGGUUUGCAGCGACUGCUGUUUGGUUGUCCUCGUUGUCCUGCCAUACACCGCCAGGGGGGUUAACCCCAUCUUGGAAGGUCACGGUAGCUAUUAGGGUGGCAACUACCAAGAGAGCGUUGCGGGCGUCGGCUCUAUUCUUAUCCCUGUCCUCCUCGUUUGCACCUUCCUUGUACUGAAAAUAACGACACCAGUCCCUGAAAGUAGUCCCAACCAUUGUUUUCUCUUGGGUUUUGAACUACAAACAGGAUUCAAGAAUUGAAGAAGCUUUCUGUUUAUGGGGAUAUGAAGAAAAACAAAGUAGUAGAUGGAUUUCUCCAGAAAAGCUUGGGGUUUGGCUGAGUCUUAAUGCAGCUAUUUAUAGUUCGCAACAGCAUCAAUCGCGUGACAAAUAUGAAGAAAAUUCACUGUUCUUUUUCUAUAUUUGCAUGAUUAUGUUUGGACAAAAUGAGAAGUAGAUUCCUAUCUCAUCUUUGGACGUCAAUAAUUUAGAUUUUUUCAACCUUGUCAAUGUUGUAAUUAGGACAAAAAACCUGAUAGGCACUUCCACUUUCACUGCCAAGAUAUGUCUGUAUGAUUUGUAUUUCUCAAUUUUACACAGCAUUAUCUUCCUUCUUGGUCAGUGCAGGAAAGAAGAUUACAUAAUCAUGCAUUUCGAGUUUAUAUAAGUAUAUAUUUGAUAUUUUAAUAAGUCUUACUAUCCAAAAUUUCAGUAACACAAUAUUAUUGAAUACCCAUAAUUAAAGGGUUAUUUACAAAAUAUGUAAAAAAAUUAAAUAAUUAUAUGAUAUUUCGGUAGGUAAGUAUCUAAUCAUUAUUUUACGUAAUAAAGUAUCUAAUAUUUCAAUAAUUUUAUUUAUUCAUGUUUUUCAUAUAAGUUAUUGAUAAAGCAUGUUUAUGGUGACUAAAUAAUAUAUGAAAAAUAAGAAAAAUAAUCAUUCAUUUCAAAGUUAGUAAAAAAAUUGAUAAAAGUUACGAAAAAUAAUCAUAUUUUUAAAAUUAAUGUUUUUGCUUUCCAAAAUUAUUUUAAAAGUUACAGAAAUCACAUAUUCUUAAAUUUUUACAUAAUGUUAUUCACAAAGAACAUAUUAUAAGCAGGUGGACUGAAAAUAAUGACAGGAGGGUAGCAGUCACUUUUAAUUUUUAAAUUUUAUUCCGAAAUCGAAUUAUUAACUUGAUAUAAAACUUUAUAAAAUUAUUUUUUUUAAAUUUUUUUAAAAUAUANNNNNNNNNNNNNNNNNNNNNNNNNNNNNNNNNNNNNNNNNNNNNNNNNNNNNNNNNNNNNNNNNNNNNNNNNNNNNNNNNNNNNNNNNNNNNNNNNNNNNNNNNNNNNNNNNNNNNNNNNNNNNNNNNNNNNNNNNNNNNNNNNNNNNNNNNNNNNNNNNNNNNNNNNNNNNNNNNNNNNNNNNNNNNNNNNNNNNNNNNNNNNNNNNNNNNNNNNNNNNNNNNNNNNNNNNNNNNNNNNNNNNNNNNNNNNNNNNNNNNNNNNNNNNNNNNNNNNNNNNNNNNNNNNNNNNNNNNNNNNNNNNNNNNNNNNNNNNNNNNNNNNNNNNNNNNNNNNNNNNNNNNNNNNNNNNNNNNNNNNNNNNNNNNNNNNNNNNNNNNNNNNNNNNNNNNNNNNNNNNNNNNNNNNNNNNNNNNNNNNNNNNNNNNNNNNNNNNNNNNNNNNNNNNNNNNNNNNNNNNNNNNNNNNNNNNNNNNNNNNNNNNNNNNNNNNNNNNNNNNNNNNNNNNNNNNNNNNNNNNNNNNNNNNNNNNNNNNNNNNNNNNNNNNNNNNNNNNNNNNNNNNNNNNNNNNNNNNNNNNNNNNNNNNNNNNNNNNNNNNNNNNNNNNNNNNNNNNNNNNNNNNNNNNNNNNNNNNNNNNNNNNNNNNNNNNNNNNNNNNNNNNNNNNNNNNNNNNNNNNNNNNNNNNNNNNNNGCCGCCGGGGACUGUUCUCAUUGACUGAGGUGUCCUUUCUUUAUCGUCCAGGUUGCCAUUUGAUUUAGUUUAAUGGUUGUUUUAAUAAUAUAGUUCAUUUUGCUGUCAAAAGAUGUCCUCAAUUAUGUUUUGCUUUCUGGAAAAAAGAAAUGAAAUUUACUGUGAUUUACUACCAUAGGCAUAUUUUAAUCUAUUAUAUUAGUCUUUAUUUGAGUUUAAAAUGUGUUUUUAUCAUCAUUUGUUCAAUUCUCGUUCGAAUAUAAGAUUGAAAAAUAAAAAAUAUUAGAAAAAAGUAAAUAUCAAUUAUAUAAUUAAUUAAAUAUAAUUUUUUUUUAAUAAUAAUGAUCAUUUUAUUCAUAAUUGAUAAUAACAUGAUCAUCGAUUUAAAUUUACUAUCCUUAACAAAUCAGUUAAAGACUCUUAUCAAUAUUACAGUUACAUUUCAACAUCAACAUCUAUUGCAAUCAAAAAACUCAAAUAUUCUCCGAUAACAGGAUACAAAAAAUUCAUAUAAAGAAGAAUAACACUUACUUGAUUAAGAACCCAAUAAACUUCAAAGUUUUAAAAAUAAAGAACAAGUUAUUAUAUAUGUUGGCAAGAUAACAAUUACCAGAGGAGUAAAUUUCUAAGGUACUGAAUCAAUUCAUGGUACAAAGAGGAGCCACAUUCUGAAUUCCAAGUCGAUUUCCGUUCGUCUCUAAUGCUUUCGCCUUGUAUCUGGACCAACUCUCCAUUUCUUGAACAACCGUAUGGUAAACCGUGCAAACUCCUCAAGAAAUCGAAUUCCCAUCACAGUGACCGUGUUACAUAGAUCACUCAUUUUCGUUGGACGUAUAUAGCUAAUAGCUACGACAGAAGUAGCAAUCAUUGAAAACAUGGCCAGCCGCAAGCCUGCCCUGGGAGGCAUGGGCGGACCCAUGUAUAUCAGUAUAUGUGAGUGGUGUCACAUGACACCACUCAAUUAAAUAAAUAUUUAUUUAUUAUAUUAUUUUUUUAAAGUUUUAUAUAUUUAAUAAUACUAUAAACUUAUUAUUUUUUUAUAAUUUUGUAAAAAGUGAGGUCAAAAAGUAAAUUUUAUUAAAAUUUUUAUAUAUUAAUAAUAUUUAAAUAUUUUUUAAAAAAAUAUUUAAAUAUUAUCAAAAAGUAAAUUUAUAAAAAAAUAAUUUAUAUAUUAACAUUUAAAUUUUACAUGAAAAAUUAAAAUAUUUUUUUAUUAUUUAAAAUUUAUUAAAAAAGUCAAAACCUAAACUACUCUCACUCUUCAAAAAUUUUAGUCUUAUUAUUAAGACUUACAAUGACUUUCCUCUUUUUUAUCAUUGAUUGUGUUUUUCAUUCUCUCAAAGUAACUCAACUAGAUUUUAAUUGUAAAAAAUUUUUAAACCAAGUUAAGUUUUUAAAUAUUUCAUGUUUAAAUAUUCGUUGAUUAAUUUGAUAGUUUGGAUUCAUAAUUAUAUUCUUGAAAUUAUUAGUCUUUUUUUUGUAGAUAUUGAUUAUUUAAUUUUUGUAUUUAACUUUAUGUGGUUUGUAGAUUAUUAUAUUUAGUUUUGAUCAAUAAAUAGAAAAUUGUUUUAUUAUUAGUUGUUGAACUUGAUAAUUUGCUAUGUAAGAUUAUAUUUUGUUUAAUUCUAAUAUUUUAGUUUAUGGUAAUGAGUAGUAAUUUUUAACAAGGUUUUAUAAUUUUAAAUAAAUAAGCCAUGGAAAGAUAUUUUACAAGAAAAAAAAAAUUAUUUCACAAGAAUCAGAUCCCGAGCAACAACAACAAAAUUCUACUAACGAUUUUAGUCAACAAUCGUCUAAGUAAAGUUGUGUUGAAUUUGAUUUAAAUACUCUUCUGACAUAUCCUGAAUUGAGAAAUUUUUUUUUGAGUAUCAUGAUCAAAAUGAAAUUAGAAGAGCAUAUUUGCAGAAAGGGUCACUGAUACUAUCAUACCAUGUUUUCACAAUAUGAAAAAUUGUCAUGGAUAAUUAUAGGUUUUUAGAUAUUUUUAUUUUGAAGUAUUAAAUGAAUAUAUUGAAUUUACAUUUUUCUUAAUUUAAUGUUAAAAUUUUUAUUUUAUGAAUUUUAACAUAUUUAUUUUUUUACUUAGUAUUUUAAUUAUAACACCACUCAAGAAAAUUCUUGAGUCUGCCCCUGCUAAGAGGGAAUCCACUGGUGAGGAGAAAGGUCAUGGCAACUGAUGCAAUGAAACCAAUUGAAUUAAAACCGAUGAACACAGAAAAGAUUGGAGGGUUUUUACUCAUGACAGCCUCUCCGAGUGUCAUGGUUCUAGAUCUCUUCUGAACGACGUGGGUGCCGACGGUCGUAGAAUUUUUACUCUCUGCUAACCAAAAACCACUUGGUGGGCUCAGAAUUGCUUGGUAUGUGAUCGUUGCUAUCAGGACUGGCACAACCAUUAAUGAGUUUUUAGUUUCACUUGAUGAUUCCGUAACCUCUUUCAUCAGUUCCUUCCAUAGGUUCCAUGAACAACAAGAUCGCAAUAUUUGCUCGUUGUUAAGGCUUUCUGCUUCGGUUUGGAUAUGAGCAGGGCCUGUUGUGAUUUCUUGGGCUUUCACAGCUCCAGCUUGCUGAAACAUCUGAUAAAUAUGAAUAUCACACAAAUCAGCUCCACUUUGGAGCAGAAGAUCUAGGACAUCCUUCGGCGUAAAGCCGUUUGAGGUUAUGGCAUUUGCGUUAACCCUGGAAACCACUGCUUCUUGACCAAUUAACAGAGCUAUAAUCUGCAAAUGAUAUACAUCCAUAAUUUACAACUUCUGUAAAGGAUUCAAUGUGGAAUUAAACAUAACUUUUUAGAAAAUAUCGACAACGCAAUCAGUACAAUCUAUUCUUCCUUAGAAUUUAGGGUAGUCUAGGAAUUAAAGAGAAUUUAAUUAGAAUAACAGGCUUUGGACUCUAGCAUGAUCAAAACUAGGAUUUAGUCGCUCAUCUACUUCAACUUAUACGUGACAUCUUUCCGCAACCAGAACGCUGUAGAAGAAAUGUAGUUUGGUAUUUAUUACAUUUCCAAUUAAAUAAUGAUUUGCAUAAGUUUAUUGAUAAUUAAAGUUAAAUUUCAUUUGUCGAGAAAGUAAUGAAAGAUUUUUAAUUUUAACUUUGAUUUACAAGUUAAUAAAUAAUCAUAAUUUUAUUAAUUAAUUAAUUAAUAUUAAAAUUUAUCUUUAAUUAUAGGAAAUUGAAAAAAAAAAUAGGUUUCAAAUCUCACGAUUUCUUUUUAGAUUUAUAUAUUAUAUGUGUAUAUAAACAAUGGUAUAUAUAAAUUAUAAUUAAUAAUUUUAUAAAUUAUAAUUUUGUAAUGUUAACACAAAAUAAAAAAUAAAUAUGUUUACAUUUAAAGUACAUAUACAUAUAUAUACUAAAAGUAUUUUAAUAUAUACAAUAGUAAUUAUAUUCUUUAUAAAUGAACUUAAUAUAUAACGAAUAUAUAUUAAAAGACAUUAUAUGUCAAUUAAUAAUUAUUGUUUCAUGAAUUAAUUUAAUUAAUAAUAUAGAUUUGUCUUUAAUUACANNNNNNNNNNNNNNNNNNNNNNNNNNNNNNNNNNNNNNNNNNNNNNNNNNNNNNNNNNNNNNNNNNNNNNNNNNNNNNNNNNNNNNNNNNNNNNNNNNNNNNNNNNNNNNNNNNNNNNNNNNNNNNNNNNNNNNNNNNNNNNNNNNNNNNNNNNNNNNNNNNNNNNNNNNNNNNNNNNNNNNNNNNNNNNNNNNNNNNNNNNNNNNNNNNNNNNNNNNNNNNNNNNNNNNNNNNNNNNNNNNNNNNNNNNNNNNNNNNNNNNNNNNNNNUUUCUUAUAAAUUAACACAAUAUAUAAACUAUAUAUAUUAAAAGAUAUUAGAAGUUAAUUAAUAAUCAUAGUUUUAUAAAUUAAUUUAAUUAACUAUAUGAAUUUGUCUUUAAUUCAUGAAAUUAAAAAAAAAAAUUUUCAAAACUAUUCUAAUCUCAAAAGCUCUCUUUAAGUAAAUAUAUUAUAAGUUUAUAUAAACAAUGGUAUAUAUAUUAUAAUUAAUAAUUUUAUAAGUUAUAAUUUUUAUAAUAUUAACACAAAAAAAAAAUAUUUAUAUUAAAAAUAUAUAUAUAAUAGUAAUUAUAUUCUUUUAUAAUAUAAUAUAAUAUAAUAUUCAUAUUAUUUGAAUAUAAUAAAUAAUAAAUACACAAGCUAAUAUCGCAUUACAAAAGAAAGAACAAUGAACUAAAUAAAAAGACAGACAAGGCUUUAAAAACAAGUUAAAUGCAUGAACAUUUUUCGCUAUCAAAAUGGCUAAACGAACAUUGUUCAUACAUUACAGUCUGGCUAUCAAAAGUCUCAUUGUCGAUUAAUUUCUGAAAUUUCUUUUAGUUGAUGAUUGUGCCUUUUUUAGUGGUCAAGAAAAUUCUAAUUACCCUGUAACAUCUGAUAAUGCGUGUGAAUAUACUGCUUGAACUUGAAACCCUUGGAAUAUAUCAGAUAAAAACAAUAUAAAAACUAGCAUUAAAAGUCUGACAAUGAGAGUUUCCUUUUCAGUGAUGCCCCUUAUUCCCCCAAUUCUGUUAAGGGUGAUACUUUUGGUUGAUACCUGCUCUUAUCCACCUUAAGAUUCUCACAGAAAUUUUUCUUUUUUCUUUUGGCGUGCCACUUAAAGUGCAGAGGUGACGAUUGUGUUCAUAAUUGGGCAGCAUUUCGGGCUGGAACAAAGAAUGAAAACAUUGAGUGGUGCGUAGAGGCCCUGGCCUGGGAUUUAGUGAUACUUACAAAGUAGGUGAGUUGACAACACUAAUUUGUACACAAAGAAAUGCUGUUUUUUUGCUGGUGGUUCAUUUGGGUACAGAGAUGGGUCAAAAUAGAUUGCUCUAUUUGACACUUGUCUUUAUUCUUUUGGAGGGGGACAUGGAACAUGUGCAUGCAGUCACAAGCAACUACUGAUCUGCUGGAGAGAAGAAGUAAUCCUGCAAAUUUUGCCACACCCCACCAGGAGGGCUGACCCCAGCUUGGAAGGUCACGGCAGCUAUGAGGGUUGCAACUACUAACAUGACGUUCCGGACAUCGCUAGGCUUGUCUCUGCCUUCGUCGUACUGGAAAUGUUUGUUCCAGCUCUUGCCUGUGCUUAGACGGCUAACCAUUUUCUUAAUCAAUGAAAACGAUACUGAAUUCUACCUCUUCAAUUAGUAUAUAAAGGAACCAAAACGUUGGAAUUGAAUGAGUCAGUCAACAUGGAGAUGAAGCUUUUUCCACACGGUAUACAAGUUUGGAACCAAAAAACAAGCAAAUGAAAUAAAAUAAUGAAAAGGACAAGACGGGUUCCCCUCAGAAUAAGUUUGGAUUUGAUGAGCACGAAUUCAAACCUCUACUCUUUAAAUUAACUAACGAACAUGACAGGGACUCAUUUCACAGUUGACAGCCCACGAAAUAUCAAGGUGCUUUCGUUUGUUUGGUAGCAAAUAUUAGAGUAAAUAAAGUCUAUACAUGAUGAUUCCCCUUAUCAAAAAAUCUUGGCAGAUCUUCCAAAUUAUCAAAGGGAAAAGAAGGAAAUGAAGCAGAAGGGAAUACAAAUUUGGAAAAAUGAUCAAGGAAAUGUUCCCAAGCAUGUUACAAUUAUUCAUUUCACGUUGGGUGUAACCCAUAUUUCCACAGGCAUGUGGUUGAUGGCGAGCAAGCUUGAUACAGUCGUUCCUCCAUCGCCUAUUCCUUCCUAAACUUAUUGAACAUCUGAAUCAAACACCGAAUUGCAAAAGGGACUGCAGCUGCAGCCAUGACAUAACGAAACUUCAAGAACUCACGUGGAGUAACAGCAAAAACCGCAGAAGCAUAAGUCACGAUCAUCGAGAUCGUGGCAACGAUGACUUCGAGAUGGAAGGGGAACCUGUAGGUGAGAGAGAUGAUGACAAGUACUGAGGCGGAAAGAGCGAGGGUGUUCGAGAUCAAGAAAACGUAGAAGGGUACUGUUUGAGAUGCAUAAAUGGCUCUACCUGCAUAAUGUCCAUUGCCAUUAUCUUGCCAUACCCCACCGGGAGGAUUGACCCCAGCUUGGAAGGUCACGGCCGCUAUGAGGGUGGCAACUAUCAGGAGAAUAUUUCGGACGUCGCUUGGCGAGUCUCUGCCUUCAUCAUAUUGGAAAUAUUUGAACCAGCUCCUGCCUUUGCUUCUAAGAGCCAUGCUUUUAUGCAAUCAAACUGAAGAAUACUGGAAUUUGCUCGUAUAAAUAGAAACCCCAAGAGUUGGAAUUGAAUGAGUUUUCAGUCAAUACGGCGGUCUUUGUUUACAGCCCAAGAAACAAUAAAAAAAGCAAGAUAAAUUUUCUAAGACAAGUUGGGGUUUGAUUAGUCUGAACUCUGAAUCCAAGCUAUAAAUCUCUAAAAAAUUUACAACGAUACGUGGCGUCAACUGGUCAUGGAUUUGGUAGCCAAGAACUAUCAAGGUACUUUCAUGGGUCAUGACUAUUUCCCAGCAGUAGGACAGAUUCUUUUUAACCUUUUGAAGAUACUAAAAAAUUGUUUUCCUCAAUUCUUGAUGUUCAUGCCGUGAUAAAUUCUGCUUUAAGAAACAUGUAAAACUUAAUAAAAGAAAUCAAACAGGAUGUUUCGUUUGGGAUGAGAAUUUUGUAGGAAACCAACAGGAAAACGAAGAGAAACGUAGACAAGUUUAUCACUGUUCUCUGCUUUUCAAUUUUCUGGGCUACCGCCAAAGAAUAAUCAACCUAUAUUGACCUUCUUUAAAUCAUUACACUUUAUCUUUUUAUAUUAUCCAUUCUCUUAUGCUUUUUUUUUUUUUGAAAAUUAGAAUCAUUUCAUUAUUAGAACAGGAUAAACCCUUUACAAAAAAAACAGAGUAUUGUGACUUAUGCUUAAUUGUGUAUACAUUUCAAGAUAUGGGAGUUUUCUUUAUUUCAGAGCAAACUAUAACAAUUGGCAUAACUUGGAGAGGGUUUUCAUAAUUUUCCCAAAAAAUUGUGGCCGAGACCUCGGAUCAACCCCCAAUUGCUAGGAAAGACCAACUUGUUGGAGGUCCUCUCCACCAAUUCCAAGCCUUGUUCACCCAAGUUGGAAGCCACCGUAAAGCGAAUGGUAGAACAAAGGCGACCGUGAGGAGGGCAUAUGCAACACCAUCUUUUUCUGUCAUACCGUAAAUUGAAAUCCAUAGCUAAACAUCAUGGAAAGCAUUGAAAUGAGAAGCUCCCGUUGGAAGGGAAACCCCCCUGUGAGAUAUAUAAUGAUGCUGAGUGAUGCAGUGAGGCCAAAGGAGUUCCAAAACAGAAACAGAUAAGAUGUUGCCUGAGUGCCUAAUAAUGCAGAGGCAGCUACUAACGCAGAUGUUACUGCCGGUCCAGCCCUUGUCACGUUACCAGAUGCUGGAUUUGAUUGUGAGUCAUAUUCUAGCAAGCCGGAUGGAGGGUUCAGACCCUCCUGGAAAGUGACGGAGGCAAUCAAUGCAGCCACCACCAGCAGUACAUUUCGAGUGUCGCUUGGUGAAUCUCUUUCCAGCUGAAACUUGAAAUAUUUGAACCAAUCCUGUAAUGGCUCUUCUGCAAGGUCAUGCCAGGAUUGUUUCUUUUUAGCAAUUACUGUGUCAUUUUGAAGGAUUUUCCUCAUUUGGAUAUCGUUGGGUUCUUCCAUGACUAUAUCUAGUAUAUCCAUUGCAGUCAGACCCUUUGAGUUUGGGGCAUUCACUUCUAGUAUUCCAUUGAAAACAUUGUUCUUACCAACAAGCAAUUCAAGACUCUACAACAUGUAUAAUUUUAUCAGUCAAUGCCAACUGUUUUGGAGGAAAAGAAAAUUUGCCCAAGAAAAAUAAUAAGAUACUAGAUCAGAAACAGAUGGAAAUUGUUGCAGAAACAGAAUCGUAAGAGGAUAAUAGAUUAGCUAAAACUGCGAAUUGUUACUUACACUGUAUUGUCUUCGAGCAGCUGCCAGAUGCAAGACAGAGUUCCCAUCACGAACCCUGAAAUUAUGACCGUUUUCUCUUUCAGAUUUUCCAGCCAGUUGACCAAGACGCUGAAAGCAGGGAAUUGGUUGUUUUUCACAGCAAGGUGAAGUGCAGUCUCCCCAUAGCUGGUCACAUCUGUUAUACAUUUCGGACAAGUCGAAAUCAAUUCAUUUAUGAUCUCAACUCUUCCCUUUGCAGCAGCAUAAUGAAGGGCUGUUCUUUGAUCCUGGCCUGGCAGACGAUAAAUCUGGAAUUCAGUCUUUAAAAGCUGUCUGACAAUAUCUAUAUGCCCUGUAACAACUGCUAUAUCCAAAGGCCGGUAACCAUCCUUUCUCAUUUCUCCUGCAAAUUCUGGUUUAUGUUUCAUAAUCUGAUGUACAAAGUCAAGCUGACCAGCCUUAACCGCAGCAUGUAAAGGUGUCUCUGUGGAACACGACAGGGCAACAUCAGUUAGAAUCAAUGGAUUUUUCUCAAGCAAAUCGUAUAGCACCUCAAUAUUUCCUGUCCGAGCAGCUUCAAACAAUCUCUCGUUGUCCAUUUGAGAAUUUGUGAAAAAAAAUUGUAGAACCUUAUCUUGUGGUGUUAGAAAUUAUUCAAAGUAUUUGCCAGGAAAUCUGAAGCAGCUUUAUAGGAAAACUCCAACCUGUUUCUUAGAGACCACAAAAGAAGAGGAGUUGGUCUACUGUCUGCAAAUAUUAUACAAAUUUUUUGUUACAAUCGUCAUCGGAAGUUUUCUGACUACAGAAUCAAGCGUUGAAUUUUUUUUUUUGGGGAUUUCUUACCAUAUGUCACAGUUUUCUUAUUUAAGGGAUGCAUUAGCUAGGAAUUAUGAAUAAAUUAAUUAAUGACUUGAUGAAUAUGAUGAUUCCUUCGUUUUGCUUUCAUGAAAUAACCAUUCUUUGUCCUUUACAAUUUUUUCUUGUGUAAUACUGAUACCUGCAGAUAAGGCAAGAAACUGAAUAGACUAUUGGGAAUUCAAGCCUUUUGUUACCAGAUGGUGAAUUUUUACUUGAUCUGGAAAUAUUUAGCCCCACUGACUUGAUCCCUUCUGCUAAAUUCUCUACAUUGUUCUACAGAAAUUAACUGCUUGCAGUUGCUAUUGAUGCCAGCAUUGGCGAUACUCACCAACAAGUCCAACGCAUGACCAGUCAAAAUACACUGAUUUCUCAGAUUUCUCAAGAUCUGCCUUCUUUCUUUGUUUCUUUUUAAAUUAACAGGAUACAGAAAACACAUGUAGGGAAGAACAACAGAAACAAUUAAAUGAAUGGAUAUGCACUUAUUUGAUAAAUGAACCAAAUAAACUUGUAAAUUUUUACAAAUGAAGAACAAGUUAUUAUGUUGGCAAGAUACAAUUACCAGAGGAAUGAAAUUCUAAAUUACUCAACUGAUUCAUGAUACAAGAGAAGCACAUUCUAAACUCUAUUACCGUCGCCUUGUAUCUGGAACAACUCCCCAUUUCUUCAGCAACCACAUGGUAAACCUUGCCAACUCCGCAAGAAAUAGAAUUCCCAUCAAAAUGACCACUAUGUAUAUUUCUCUCAUUUUGGUUGGACCCAUAUAGAUUACAGCUAUCACGUAAGUACCAGUCAUUGAAAGUAUGGCCAGCCGCAAGCCUGCCCUGAGAGGGAAUCCACUGGUAAGGAGAAAGAUCAUGCCGAAUGAUGCAAAGAAACCAAUUGCAUUGAAAACAGUGAACACAGCAAAGAUUUCAGGGUCGCUAGCCAUGACAGCCUCUCCAGGCAUUGUGGCUCUCUUCUGAACGGUGAUGGUCUGAGAUUUUCUGUUCUCUGCUGACCAAAAACCACUUGGAGGGCUCAGAAUCGCUUGUUAUGUGACUGUUGCUAUCAGGACUGCCACAACCAUUAGUGCAUUUUGAGUUUCAGUUGAUGAUUCCGUAACCUCUUUCAUCAGUUCCUUCCAUAGGUUCCAUGAACAACAAGAUUGCGAUGUUUGCGUGUUGAUAAAGCUUUCUGCUCCGGUUCGGACAUUAGCCGGUUCUGUUGUGAGGUCUCGGGCUUUCACAGCUCCAGCUUGCUGAAACAUCUGACAAAUCUGAAUAUCAUAACAAUCACCUCCACUUUGGAGAAAAAGAUCUAGGACAUCCUUUGGUGUAAUUCCGCUUGAGUUAAUGGCGUUUACGUUAAUCCCAGAAACAACUGCUUCUUGACCAAUUAACAGACCUAUAAUCUGCAACCGAGAAUAUAUAUUCAUAAUUUACAACUUCUGGAGAGAAUACCAAUAGCACAAUCAGUGAAAUCUAUUCAUUAUUAGAAUUUUACGUAGCCAAGGAAUAAACAGAAUGUAACUAGAAUAACGUGUGUUGGACUCCACCAUGACCAAAACCAUGAUUUAGUAGCACAUCUGCUUCAACUUAUACCUGACAUCUUUCCACAAUAAGAAUGCGGUCGAAGAAAUGUUGGUAUUUAUUAGAUUCCCGAUUAAGUAAUGAUCUGCAUAUUGUUCAUUAACACCUAGUUUGUCCUUUUCUUCAGCUUCAAACAAAUGGUUUCCCUUGGGAAAGUGCUUAAGGCACUCAGCCAGUAUCUAUGUGCUCUCAUCUUUGCUUAACUAUGCAGCUUGUUACAUUAUCUGACAGGACAAUGCCAUCUUUUUUAAAGGCAUUCAGGAUUCAUUAACAGUCUGAUUUCACAUGCUGCAGACUUGGUUUUUGAGCAGAUAGGAGACACCAAGAACAAAUGAACGAAUACAAUAAAUCAAAAAAGAAGAGAAACGAAUAAAUAAGAAUAGAUGAAGUAAAUAACUAUCAGGAAAUUGAGAAAAAAAAAAUUAGCAGGAAGAACUGCACUUGCCUCAUGUUGUCUGUUGAAGGUUGCCUGAUGUAAUAUGGUGUUCCCAUCCCUGUCUUUCCAAUUCAAAAUUUCCGUCAUAUCUAACUUUCGCAUCUCCUCAAUCAAAACCCUUGCAGCCUCAAUCUGGUUACUCUUCACAGCCGAAUGAAGGGCAGUUUCCCCGAAAGCAGUCAGUUCUUUAACAGACUCGGGGCAAGCCCAGACCAGUUCCUUAACAGCAUCAACUCUGCCUUUCAAAGCCGCGCAAUGAAGUGGAACCUUACCAUCUUUUCCCUUCAAAAGACAUAUGUCACAUCCAACUCUCGUAAGCUCUCUUAUAAUUUCCACGUGCCCUUUAGCCGAAGCGACAUGCAUGGGGCUAUAACCACUUUCACUUAGCUCCCUGGCGAAUGCUGGCUUUCUGCUCACAAUUUCUCUUGUGAUUUCUGUUUGUCCUGCCAUUGCUGAUAUGUGUAGAGGAUUAUCGACAGAGUUUAAGGCAACUCGAUCAAGCAGAAAUGGAUCUUCCCCGAGUAAUGAGUGAAAUGCAGAAAUAUCUCCAGAACGAGAUGCUUCGAACAAUCUUGGUUCCAUUUCUACUUGAUCUUGUUGCCCUUACCAAUGUGACAAAAUGUAGUGUGAGCUUUGUGUUUUCUUGGAAUAUUUUAUAGUAUAUUUAAGGUGAUAGAAUUCGUCACCGGGAAUGGAAUUUGAUCCUAUGGGCAAACUGGCAAGCAAUGCAAGCAAAAGACAAAGUACUAUCUGCUUUUUACUAUUAAUUUACCUUUGAAACCUGGAAAGCGGCAUAGAAGGUAACUUAGAAAAUCUGACAGAUUUGAAUGGUCUAAAUUCUUUAAAAUGAAGAAGAAUGCAUGGUGGAACUAAUUAAUUUUUGUUUGGGGGCCAAAAUGAAGAAGAAUUAAGGUUAAAAUUUUUUAAAACUAAUAUGUUGAAUUUAAUCAACAAUUUUUUUCAGAAUUGAGCUUGGAUGUUUUGAUUUAUAUUACUUUUGUUCAUGAGUUGAGGCAUUCAGAUUUAAUGACUCAAGUGUAAGAGAAUCAUUUGAAUGAUUUUCAUCUUUUUCUUUUAAAAAAUUUGUUAAUUAUUUUUAACUUACUCAUAUUUUAAUUAAACUUGAAAAAAAAAUUUAAUGCAGUCAAUAUUCAAUAUUCUUAUUUUAUUUCUAUUUAAAUUUAAAAUAUUAAAUAUAAAACUAUAAUGCAUAAAAUAUAAAUAAUUAAACACGAUAUACAGAAUUUCAAACAAUGAUUAAAUAUAUAAAUAGUUAAAUAAUAUAGAUAAAAAGAACAAAAUAAAAAAAAACUUUACCUCUUCUUAAUGUCACACAAUAGUGAUGAGUAGUAACGUUCUUUUUUAUCCAAGCUUACAAGCUAAUAAAUUUUUUUUGAAGAAAGAAAUAUGUUUCAAUGUUGAGUUCCACAUAAGAGAGUAAGAUAAGAAUAAAAGAGAAUAGAAAAAGAAAAAGAAAGAAAGAGAAAGAGUUAAAAGAGAAAUAUAAGAAUUAAGAUAAAAUUGAAUAAAGUUUGUAAAAUUAAUUUAUUAUUUGUUAUUAAUAUUAAUUAUUAAAUAAAACAAUUAUUUUGAAAAAAUCAUUUAAAAAUAUAUAAUAAAUAAAUAAAUUUAAAAAAUUAAAAUAUAUAUAAUAAAUAUAUAAUAAAUAAAUAAUUUUAAAAUUUUAAAAAAAUCACUCCCCACGCAGAUACAUUACCCUUGCCUCCUCCCGGUAGGCAAUGCUUUAAUUAGUUUAAGGAUUUUCUUUUAAUAAUAUAGUUUAUUAUUAUGUUUUGCUUUUGCCAAAAGAAAUGAAACCUAUUGUGAUUUACUACUAUAGUCAUACACGCAAUUUUUAACCUAUUACAUUAGUCUUUGUUUGAGUUUAACAUGGGUUCUUAUCUUUAUUUGUACAAUUUCGUGUUAGUCAUGUUUGGCUCAUUGGAAGUAUCAUUUCAUUCCAACAACAGUCUCACUAAAUAAUUGUUCUACUAUUUAAUUCAUUCUUUUAUCAAAAAAAAUUAUUCUUCAAAAUUUAUAAUUUUUUAAAUUUUUUAAUAAUUCAGAUAUUAAUUAUUUUACAGGAGUUAAAAUUCUUUUUACCAAAUCGUGAUUAAUUAAUGCUUCACAUUUAUGAUCUCUAUUACAAAUAAAACUUAAUUAUAGUAGUGGUGGUAUUGUUUAUGCGUCAUGCAUUAUUAGAGAAACUGAGAACAAUAAAAGUUGACAAGUAAAAAAAACUUGAGAUUGGAUAUAUGUGAUUGUCGAACGUGGUGAAAUGGGUUCUUAACCCAGCUAUGGUGACAUGGAGGAUGAGAAAACUUUACAUCCAAAUCACAAAUUGCUCAAGAAUUUAAGACAACGGCGGAUAAAACACACUUUCGCCCAGCUAAUGAUGAUGUUGAUGCCUUUCAAAAAAAAAAAAUGAUGAUGUUGAUCGACUUGCGAAAGAGGGGUCUCACGGCCUCAACAGUUGCUGUGGGUUAAUCAUGAACCGCCUCCCAAUCAAGGUAUUGGUUCUAGUUGUGUGAUUGUGAAAUUGUAAAUGUCUUUGUUCUUGAUUCUUCCAAGUGAAUUCCUUGAUCUGUUGGGAUAUUUUUUUUGUUAGUUUACAGCUUGAUUGUUUGGGUAACAACAUUUCUAGUGGGGUUGUGCUGAUCCCAGGUCAGGGAGGGUUUGCUGUUCACAAACAAUAUGUAUAGGUGAUUUUAAGAAGCAGAGAUAGGCCUUUUUGUAAUCCUGUUUUGCGUUCUGUAAUCAUCGAUAUUAUUAAUACAAACUAUUAUAUGUAUUAAAAAAAAUUAUCAUAUUAAAUAAUAAUUAUUUUUUAAAAAUAAAUAAUUUUGAUUCACAUUUAUAUUUUUUUCUCGUAAUGUAUGUAUCAUGAUCUUAAAUAAAAAUCGUGCAUUUCACGUCAACUAUAUACUAAAGUGAAACUAAUCUCAAUCUAUAUCUUAAAAAUUGAUAUAAACCACGUGAUAUAACUUAUAGACAGAUGGUGAUUGGUUCUCCUUUAAGAGAGGUUAAUUAAUCAGACCAAUUCUCCACUUACUUGAAAGUCGGCAAGGUUUUUCUUGUUUCAACGACAGAUUUUAUUAUAUGCUACAACUAGUCUUUAAUUUUGGUCAAAAAGACUUCUCUUGACAUAAAAGUUCUGAACAUUUUCUAAGCAAUUGAUUGUGUAUAGACUACUUUCCAAGCCCUCUACAUGUGCCAACAACAUGACCCCAUCUUACAAGAUUGCUGAACAAUAAGAGGUCCUCGCUCUGUGGAACACGUGUCCGCAAGGUUAAUUAAUAGGACCAAUUUGACUCGAGAAGCUUGGCCAUACAAAUGCUGGGGGCUGUAAGCAGAUGAAGCAAAUGCCUUUGCAUUCUAAACGGUUCUUUUUAUAUAACAUAGGAUUAGAAAUUCGAAAAUAUUAAAGAAGGGUUUAAAGCUUUACUUGUCUUACUGUUACUAUGCAAAGGUUCUUGUUAAUAAUAUAGGAUUAGAAAAUCAAAAUUUUUAAAGAAAGGUUUAAAGUGUUAUUGUUUUAAUGUAAAUAUGCAAAAAAUUUAUGAGUGAUAAAUCUCAAAAUUAUUUAUAUUUUAUAUUAACAAUUAAUUCAGUAACACUUAUUAAUAAAUGAUAAGAUUAUUUUAUUACAAUUUUAAUGUAUCCGUAUACUUGUUGGUAACUAAUAAGCUUGAAAGAUAUUCACAUUCCUAUCAAGAAAAAAUCGAGGAAUAGUUAUUUUAACAUUUAAUUAACUUUAUUUUUUAUAGUCUGUAUUUUUUAAAAUUUUUGAAUAAUUAAGAUAUUAACUAGGAGUAAAAAUUCCUCCUAAGGAGUAGUGAUUUAUUAAUGCUUCACAUUUACAAUCUUGAUUUUUGUUUUUUGAAAAGCUGAAUAUUCAUUCACAGGCAAACGAUUUGCACGGAAGUCGCAGGCUAACAAAAGCAGACCUGUCAACAAACAGCAAGAAAAAACUCUUGUUUAGGUCCAGCACAUACUGGGCAGCGGACCAGCCUAUACAAAAAAAUGACUCAACGCCUGCUUUAAUCAAGCUUCGACAAAAAUACAAGGCAUCAACUUCUUUCCACAAAAAAACGAAGCAAGCUAAAACAAUUAAACCCCAGAACAGUUAAUCCACAGCAGUUUCUAGGCUCUUUGAACCCCACCCUUAGCCAAUGUGUCUGCAUCUCCAUUGGCCGAACGUAGGUUAUGCCCAAUUUGCCAUUCAUCAAUCCUCGUCAACAUAUUGUGAAUAAAAAUAAUUUCUUUCCGCAAUCUCCAAGGGACUACAGACGGAUUCCUUACCCAUUUAACCACGUUUGAAGAGUCAGAUUCUAUCAUUAAUUUCACGGAGGACCUCCAUGUAGAAGCUGCAAAGAUAACCGCAGCCUCCUUCACUGCCAACAACUCUUCUAAGUUAGAAUCUAUCAUCCCCAUAGAUUUGGAGAAAAGAGCCAUAACGUCUCCACUCCAAUCUUUAAGGAUGCUGCCAAUUCCAGCAUGACCUGGGUUACCAUGGGAAGCACCAUCAGUGUUAAAUUUGUAGCUGCCCUCCCCUGGUUUCUCCCAACUCUGUAUUUCCCUUUAGUGACUGACUCUCCUCGGAUUAGUAGCAUUGCAGGGGUCUUUAAUCAGAUCAUCAACACCCAAAUUAACCUCAGGCCAUUUGGCAUGCGUCCACCAAGCAAUGCGCACUAUAACAAGCUCAAACACUUGGCUGCUGUCCCAACUCUUACCCUUGAACACCAUAUCGUUUCUUGUAAUCCAAAUAGACAAUGUAAUAGCAUAAAAAGCCAUCCUCCAGACCAACCCAUUUUCAAAACAGCUAGCAGCGUUAUUCCACCUUUGGAACCAAAUUUCAAGUUUAGAGUAACUCACCCAUUCAGUUUUCCAUAAAGCACACCACUUCUGCCAUACUCUCCAAGUUUCACUGCAAUUAAAAAACAGGUGCCCUACAGACUCAAUUUCAGAUCUGCAAAUUAAGCAGAUAGCAGCCUCACUCUUGAGAAUACCUCUGCUCACUAAUAACUCCUUAACAGCCAACCUCCCUUGAAGUACCUGCCAGCAGAAAAGCUCUACUUUAUGGGGUGCUAACCCAGCCUGUAUUUGCUUUCAAUAACCUGCGUAAUAUCUAUUAGAGGAAAGAACACUCCUACAAAGCCCUAGCCUCAACAAAAUCAAGCUGACUAGCCUUAACUGCAAGACGUAAAGGUGUCUGUGUGGAACACGACAGGGCAACAUCAGUUAGAAUCAAUGGCUUUUUCGCAAGUAAAUCGUUUAGCACCUUAAUAUUUCCUUUCCGAUAGCAGCUUCAAAUAAUCUUACAUUAUCCAUUUGAGAAUUUGUGAAUAAAAUUGCAGAACCUUAACUUGUGGUGUCAGAAAUUAUUCAAAGCAUUUGUCAGGAAACCUGACGCUGCUUCUUAGAAAUACUACAACCCGUUUCUUAGAGGCCACGAAAGACGAGGAGUAGGUCUGCUGUCUGCAAAUAUUAUACAAAUUUUAUAUUACAAUCUCCUUUCCUUUGAGUCUCUUUUAAACUAUGGUAAAUUAGAUAUCCAAUCUUGAAUAUUUGGUAUAAUCAUCAAAGAAAAUUAGAGCUCAUCAAGUCAGAUAACACUUUCUUGCUAAAGCAAUUUUCUUUGGUUCAAAGCACAUUCUGCUCACAUAAUUUUUUAUCGCUAAAACAAAGUCCAUUAUAUUAAUUAAGUGACUGUACGAACCCUCAUAAUUCAAAUAAUUGAAUUCGUACAAAAAAAAAAUUGGAAACCCUCGUAGGAUGCGGUUCAUUCUGUAUAUAUCAUCUUCUGAAUGUGAGCCAUUGAUAGUGCCAUCUCUGGUUAGCCUUGAUUUUCUGCUUCCUUUUUUUUCUUUAUAAAUUGCCUGUUUUUCCCUCUUCCCCCACUUAAUUUUUCUUCUAUCUCAACAUAGUCCUUCCAAUCUAGCUCACAUAGAAAGUUUGGGAACCAUCCCAUAAUUUCUUACAACAUGUCACGGUUUAAUUUUUUUAAAAAUUGGAGUUUAUUAGCCAGUAACCGGUAUACCAUUGAUAGUCUCGAACUGGAGCUGCCGGAGACUCUCAUUGGCAUGAAAUGAAAACCGGCUUGGCAAAAAAGGCAUGAACAAAAAGGUUCACCAAUCCUUACAUAAACCAGCAGUAUGCCCUCAUCAAUUAGUAACGUCACAAAAUAGUCUCGAUCCUGCUUAAGAUAAAAAACAAACAGCAGGAAACAAGGAGGCUAUACAACAAAGACAUAAUUUCUAAAAAUCAACCUCAAACAGUGACAGCAAUACCCUAAGACCACGAAACAAAAAUGAUCCAAAAACAGAGUAGAGACUUGAAGAUCCCUUGAAGCCCUUGAUCAUCAAAGCCAAGAUCCAAUCGGAGUCGAAAAAUUGGACAGCACAUUGACAGAUCCGAGCGAAGAAGGAUCAACAUAAUUAACUCGAAACACACCACAGGCAAAGGAACCAAGACACGGUCGUGUCUACCUGGAGAACAUGACCUGCAACCGGCACAAAAAGGAAGGCCAGCAACUCCCACACGAUCAGCAAGCCUCAAAUGCAGAAGAAAGCUGCUUCACCUUGAAGACAUAAUGAAUAUGAUGAUUCGCUCGUUGUGCUUUCAUGCUAUGUCCAUUCUUUGUCCUUUUCAGUUUUUUCUUGUGUAAUACUGAUACCUGGCCCUGCAGAUAAGGCAAGAAACUGAAAAGAAAAGGAAUUCUAGCCUUUGUUGUCAGGUGCUGAAAUUCUAUUUGGUCUAAAAAUAUUUAGCCCCACUGACCUUAUCCCUUCUACUAAAUUCUCUAUAUUGUUCUACAGAAAUUAACUGCUUGCAGCAGCUAUUGAAGCCAGCAUUGGCUUUACUCACCAACAAGUCCAUGCAUGACUAGUCAAUUUAUCAAAAUAGACUGAUUUCUUAGAUUCUCAUGAUCUCUCUUCUUUCUUUGUUUCGUUUUAAAUUAACAGGACAGAUAAAAUUCCUGUAAUAGGGAAGAGCGCCACAGAAACUAUUAAAUGAAUGGAUAUGCAGCUGAUAAAUAAACCAAAUAAACUUUUAAUUUUUUUUUAUUGUGAAUGAGAGAAGCAAAUGGAAGGAGAUUGGUUCAUCCGAGGUACAUUAAUAGCUGGUAAGAAGGUGGUGAGAAAAGGGCAAAAAGGAAUUCUGCAAACUGUCAGUAGGGCGGAAGAACCUGAUGUGGGAGAUCCUAUUUUAGCGAAUGAGCAAAUGAGAGUUGAGAAGGUGGGCUAGAUUGAAAUGAAAAUAGAAAGGAGAAUAUAGGGCCAGGUAAGGAAUUAGGGCUCGAAGCUCGUGAGCAAAGAGGACGAGGGAGAGGGGCCGGGUGAUAGAUGAGCCCGAGGAGGAGAUUGGAGUAGGGCUCAGAAUUGCUUCGUAUAGGACUUUGUAAUCUUUAAUACACACAUUUUAUUUGUUUGAAAUAGGCAAAGCACACAUUCUGUUUAUUUGGUACAUAACAAAUCGCACACUUUAUUUACUAAUUAUACAAACUUAAUGAAACUCCCAAGUACUAGUAUUAAUUUUGGACACAUACCCUGUGUCACAUCCUAUAACAUAUAUAAACAGCAUGAGUUCUAAGUUGUUCGGGCUCCAACUUCUAGGAAUUUGCCUGUGUCUGCCUACGUUCAUUGUUUUCCUCCAUCCGCCUAAGGUUGUGCUUGCAAGGUCUGGUCUUUCGGGGGAUCUGCUAUCUUGUUUCUAGGCCUGGAAAAUGCCUGGAUCAAACAUGGAGGAUCAGGUUCCCUGUUUUUCAACUUAACCAAUAGCUGGAUCAAACACCGCAUAGCUAAAGGCACUACUGCUGUAAUCAGGGCGAGUUGAAACGUUUCUUCAUUCGGGGUAACAGCAAAGAUCGCAGAUCCAUAAGUUAUAAUCAUUGAAACACCAGCAACCGUUACUUCAAACUUGAACGGAAAAUUAUGCGUGAGAGACAUAAUAACAAGUACCGCUGCAGAAAAGGCUAGGGUGUUGGAAGUCAAGAAAACGUAGUAGACAGAUGAUUCAGAUUCACAGAUAGCAGUGCCUGCUAUAUGGCCCUCAUUGGUUUCCUGCCAUACACCGCCAGGGGGGUUAACCCCAUCUUGGAAGGUCACGGUAGCUAUUAGGGUGGCUACUACCAAGAGAGCGUUACGGGCGUCAGCUCUAUUCUUCUCCUUAUCCUCCUCUUUUGCACCUUUCUUGUACUGAAAAUAACGGCACUAGUCCUGGCCAUUUUUUUUCAAGAAAAAUGUGAGAAAAUGAUUUUGUGAUAAGGUGAUUUCAAAUAUAACCGACCAUAUAAAGUUAUCUGUUUCUACCCAAAAAUAAACAUGAGUAGACCAAAAUGCCCUUAAAAACAUCAUUUCAAAGAAAUGCUCAGCUGUUUGAGCUAUCUGCCUCUCGCCAGAGAAAAAAUGAAAAACAUUAAAAAUAAAUGCGCGCAGCUAUUUAGGCUCGAUCAUCUUUCUCUGUCUCAACUCUGGUAAGUCUUUGUUGAGCACCAUCGUUGUCAGCUCUCUCAGAUCUCUGAACUGUAUGAGCUCUGUCAACUCUCUGUUGAGCACUAUUGUCAUUGGGCUGUGGUCUAUCUCUCGACAUUUGGCCACAUUGUCAUAGAUUAACACACCCUAUAGCAGAGAUGACAUCAAGGUACCUGUUAUUGGGUUUAUUUCUGCAACACACUUAAAUUUCUGAAACAUUUGGUGUAAAUAAUAAGAUGGAUAAGAAACAUUGCCCAGAGUUGUUACACGCCAUGCAUCUAUAACAUGAGUGAAGAGUUAUUUUAGCGUGUCACGGCUGUUACUGGAGUGUUGUCGGCUAACUAGUUAUUUGGGUUGUUAGCGUGUCACGGCUAUUCUUGGGGUGUGGUGAGUGAACUAAAUGUAUGGGUUUUUGGCGUGUCAUGGCUGUUCUUGGAGUGUCGUGGGUUAAUUGGUUUUUGGGAUUUUUAACGUGUCACGGAUGUUGGUGUAACCAGUCAGUAAUUACAGUGAUUGGCGUGUCACGAUAAUGAUGCAUGGUGUGUCACGACAGUGAUGCAUGGCGUGUAAUGAUACUGAUGCAUGACGCGUCACGAUAUUUGACUUGAUAUGCAUGACGUGUUACAACAUUUUACGUUAUAUGCAUGGCGUGUAACAACACGACUAACAAAUUUUUGAUCACGGCAUGUAUUGUGUAAAAUGAUUGACGAUAUUUUUUUUUCAAAAUUUCAGUGGAGUUCCAAUUGUGCGACUUGUGAUAAGACACGGUAGUUAGUAGGUGGAUGGCAUUUACAAGGGUGGUGAGUCACGAAUGAGGCGGGUUAGGAGUGAUUUGUCGUUUGUAGGCUUGAUGAAGCUGGUUGAAGAUGUUGUUAGGGUCAACUCAGAAAUUGACGAGAUUGAGUUACAUGCAUUGAUCAGUACACCCGAAGAGCUAUUACGGCCAAUUAUCAAGGACGAUGAGGAUGUUGCAUUAAUUUUGCUAGAACAGAGGAAUGUUCCGGCUGUGUAUGUCAGCAUUAGGGGACGCCAAAUAAAUGUUAUGUCACAUGGAGAAGUUGGACAACAUGGUAAUCAACUCAAUCAAAAUGAGAUUUACAAUGCUUCACAUAUACCACAACAUUCGGUCUGUAACCCACAACAAUGGCAAUUGAGGUAUGCACAAGAGUUUGUGCAACCCGGUAGACAGACGACAUUCACAGACAGUUGGCUACACAAUUUCGAUCAGGAUGUGCAUCAAACCAAUUUCUUGCUUCUCUUGAACAAAUGCAACGAUCGGGUGAAAUUGUAGAGUGUGUAAUGCCAUUGUCAAAUGAGAAUAUGACAGUUGAGGACAACAAUGUGAGGUUGGAGGGUGACACUGCGACGCUGGAGUAUAAUACUACAUUUGAUGAGGGAAAUGAGGAUUUGUUCGCUGCCGGUGAAGAUAGAUUUGAUCACACUUCAAAUGAUGGGCUUGAACAAUCACAAGAUGACAGUUCAGACGAUGAUUGCCUUUAUGACAGUGACAUUCCAAUUUGCAAUAAUGUUGAAGGUGAAACAGAACCUGUUGGAGGUGUUGAUGUAUGAGAUGUUCAGUGUGAUGACCCCAUAUACAAUAACCCCAUCGCUGGUGAGAACGGGAUUCGUUCCCUUGAUAUAUUGCUCGAUGACAGUGAUCAUGAAAGGAAAAAUGCAGGGAUAUCUCGUACGUGGGUAAUUGCAAGUGCAGAAAGGUUAUUCUUCCAAAUAAUUACCACUGAAGAGUCGACAUGUGCCGAAGAUCCCUUAUACAAAGGAAGAAUGUUUUCAUCGAAGGUCGAGUUGAAACGAGCUUUAAACAUGUUGGUUAUAAAAGAGAAGUUUGCGAUAAGAGUAAAAAGGUCAUGUAAAGCUCGUUAUGAGGUUAGUUGCAAGGACAAGGCAUGCAAGUUCAGUGUUUGUGCAACGAAGUUACCUGAUAGAGGAGAAUAUUGGAAAGUUCGGACAUUCCAUAAAAUACACACUUGUAUCGUUGAUGAUUUGCAAGGGCAGUUUCCAACUACGAGUGCGAAGAUGAUUGGUAAACUUAUGUCACACAAGAUUCGGGCUAAUGGAGUAGCAUUGAGACCUAAGGACAUAAUUUGUGAGAUGAAGGUUUAGUGGGGAUUGGAAUGCUUGUAUAGUAAGACUUGGCCAGCGGAGGAGUAUGCGAAGAGGCUUCUUUUCGGUCCAUCGGAGGAGUCAUUUCAACUACUACCAUCGUAUUUUUAUAUGUUGGAACAAGAAAAUCCUAGCAUAAUGACUGCAGUGGCUAAUGAUGAGGAAGAGAGAUUCAAAUAUUGUUUCUGGUCAUACGGGGCUUGUAUUCGGGGGUUUAGGGAUGUAAUGCGUCUUACGGUUGCAAUUGAUGCGACACAUCUAAAAGCCAGGUUUAAGGGUGUUCUGUUUGUCGUUGUAUGCAAAGAUGCGAACGAGUGCGUAUAUCCAGUUGCGUUUGGCAUCGGCCAUGUUGAGGAUGAAAACUCGUGGAUGUGGUUUCUUAGCAAGCUACGUGAUGCGGUUGGUUGUCCUGAAAACACUAUGUUUAUUUCUAACCAGCAUCUCGGCAUUAAGAAAGUAAUCCAAAAUGCAUACCCAGAAGUGCACCAUGGUUUAUGCGGUUACCACUUGUAAAAAAACUUUAAAAACAAGUUCAAGCGCGACGAUGUUUAUAUGCUUUUCACCCUUGCUCGAGAUUGCUAUAAGGUGGCCGAUUUCAACAGACAUAUGAACCAGAUAUAGCAGAUUUAUUUGGGAGCCCACGCGAACUUUAUGAGAAUAGAGCCUGAGAAAUGGGCAUGUGCAUGUUCACCUGCAAAGCGAUACCAAAUGAUGACAUCCAACAUUACGAAAUGUGUUAACUCAUGCUUAAAGCAUGCAAGGCAAAUGCCGAUCACUGUUUUGAUCGAGUUCAUCAGAGACAUGUUUCAGAAUUGGUUCCAUGAACGGUACGAGAAAGCCGUCAAGGUGACCACGCCUCUCAGCCCUUGGGUUGCCAGGCAGUUGAGUAAAAGGUUCAAUGAUGCACAUCGCUUUCUAGUUAAUCCUAUCAAUCGAGCGGAGUUCGAAGUUAAAGAUGGGAAGAUGGACGGACUUGUAAACCUGUCCAGGAAGAUGUGUUCAUGUUGUGAGUUCCAAACAGAUUUACUACCAUGCAGCCAUGCCAUUGUAGCAAUAACAGAAUAUCUUUAUUUUUUAUUUGAACUGUAAUUGACAUAACAUUUACAUUAUGCUUGAAGAUUGAGUUUUUAGUGUUUUUCAGUAAAUGCAAUCGUGAAGUCAUUGAAUUCUGCGCUGACUGCUACAAGAUAACCGUUUUUGUGGAAGGUUAUUCAGGAUCCAUUAGGUUGGUAGGGCAUCCUAGUGAGUGGGACAUCGCCCCUCAUGUGAAACAAAUUAUCGUCUUGCCCCCACCUUGGCGAGGCCAAGUAGGAAGACUUAGGAAGAGAAAGAUUCCAUCAGCUGGUGAAGGUAGUCGAACACAGAGAUGUUCACAAUGCAAGAGGUACAAGCAUAACAGACAGAACUACUCAUCCCCAUUUGCAGUUCCAUCCAUAAAUCUGGCACCAUCUCCAAGUCAAUCGACGACUCCACGACUGCGCCGACCCAAAGCAUGUUCAAGUUGCAGACAAACCGGUCACAUAUGCAACAACUGUCCAAUACAAAAGACAAUGUCCAAAAAUGUGCCUGAUUUUGAUAUGCAUGUCAUGUCACAGAAUUUUACUUGUUAUGCAUGGCCUGUGAUAGCAUUUUACUUGAUAUGCAUGGUGUGUGACAGCAUUUUACUUGAUAUGCAUGGUGUGUUAUAACGUUUAACUUGUUAUACAUAGCGUGUUAGCACAAUUUACUUGUUAUGCAUGACGUGUCAUUUCAUUUUUCUUGUUAUGCAUGACGUGUCACAAUAUUUUAUUUGAUAUGCACGGCGUGUCACAACAUUUUACUUGUUAUGCAUGGCGUGUCUCACAUUUAUUCCUUAUUUAUUUCUUCUGUAUACCUUGUUGCACAUUAUGGCUUAACUCAUUGGUGCAUCUGUGCCAUGUUUUGCAGAUCCAACACAUACAGUAUGAGGAUCUUAACAUUUUGUCUGCUCGAUCAUUCUAUGAGGCACUUUUAGUUACGGACUUUGUUGCCAAACAUUUCAAGCAGAUAAGCUUGUCAAGGCCUCUGUCUGAUCAAGAUCGCGUUAAAGUACAUUCUUACAUUGUUUGUAAAAAUGUUUCCGAUUACAAUCUCCAUCAGACAGGAGCCACAUAUUUGUUUAUCUGCCUGAAAUGUUUGGCAACAAAGUCUGUAACUAAAAGUGCCUCAUAAAAUGACCGAGUAGAUAAAAUGUCAAGAUCCUCAUACUGUAUGCAUUGGAUCUGCAAAACAUGGCACAGAUGCACCAAUGAGUUAAGCCAUAAUGUGCAACAAGGUAUACAGAAGAAAUAAAUAAGGAAUAAAUGUGAGACAUGCCAUGCAUAACAAGUAAAAUGUUGUGACACGCCGUGCAUAUCAAAUAAAAUAUUAUGACACGCCAUGCAUAACAAGAAAAAUGAAAUGACACGUCAUGCAUAACAAGUAAAUUGUGCUGACACGCUAUGUAUAACAAGUUAAACGUUGUCACGCACCAUGCAUAUCAAGUAAAAUGCUGUCACACACCAUGCAUAUAAAGUAAAAUGCUGUCAAAGGCUAUGCAUAACAAGUAAAAUUCUGUGACAUGACAUGCAUAUCAAGUAAAAUGUUAUCACAAGCCAUGUAUAACAAGUAAAAUUCUGUGACAUGACAUGCAUAUCAAGUAAAAUGCAGUCACACGUCAUGCAUAUCAAGUAAAAUGCUAUCACACGCUAUGCAUAUCAAGUAAAAUGCUGUCACACGCUAAUAACUAACUAUAAUAACAAUAGCGUCACACGUUAAACACCCAAAACCCCUAAAACCACUACGACUUAACCACAACAACCAUCAAACCAGCAAGAAAACAUAGUCUAAACAUUUGCAAAACAAAACAAAAAACCCGAACAUAUCAAAUAAACCCAGGAAAAAAUCAAAAAAUUAACGAACACAAGAAUGUUACGAAUUUGAGACUCACUGACCUCUUCAUUCAUGGCCGACAUUUUUGCUGCUAUUGUGGUUUCGUUCCUCUUGCAAAGAGCCUUCUCGAACACUCUGGUACCGACGGGAAUGAGAAAUGAAUCACACAGAUGUUACAAAUUUUGUGUAAUAACUGUUUAAAAUGAAAAAUGACCUUAUAAUAUUCUUAUUUAUUCUGAAAAAGGGGAAUUAAUUCAGUGAAAGUCCAAAGGAUUACCACAUUUACUGCCCGUUUUUUUUCCUCUCUCUAUUUCAAACCAUGACUUGUCAAUUGCUCAAGCACUGCUGUGUCACACACUCUAAACCAUGACCAUGGUGUGUUAGCUUUUCAGGCAAUGUCGUGUCACACACUCUAAACAUGACCAUGGCGUGUCACCAACUCUGAACUCUGGCUUGUCACAGAUUCCAUCCAUGGUGUGUCACUAACUCUUAACUCUAGAGUCUCACAGAUUCAAUCCAUGGCGUCUCACCAACUCUGAAAGCUGGCAUGUCACAGAUUCCUUCAAUGCCGUGUCACCAACUCUUAAUUUGGAGUGUCACAGAUUCCCUCCAUGGCAUCUCACCAACUCUAAACGCUGCCAUGUCACACAUUCUCACCAUGGCAUGUCACCAACUCUAAACUCUGGCGUAUCACAGAUUCCCUCUAUGGCGUCUCACCAACUCUGAGCGGUGCAGUGUCACAUAUUCCCAACAUGACGUUUCACAAACUCUAAACCCUGCCCUGCGACAACCAUCUAACAUAUGGCCUGCUAUAGCAGGACCAUUUCCUACUUUGGAUUCACAUCUUUCUCUUUUUAAUUCACCACCGUAUCAAGGAUUUCUAGUUUCAUAUCAUUAGCCAAGCUUUCCAUUCAUGACAACCGGUUCCUCGUUCGAUUUAAUAUCUCUCUUCUCCUAUUAUCUGAAUGUCAUGUCUCAAAUCUCUGAAAACCCAUCUCAUGCAACAUUAUUUUGUUUUGCACAACCUUCGAAAAAAUUUUUGGGUAUUUUGCACAACCAAUCUUUGCAUAUUUUUUUUCUCCCAUUUUUCGCCUGUUUGAGAGUGUACGCUAACGAAGAAGACUCAUUAAGGGCAUUUUUGUCCCAAAAUCUUUUUUGGUGGUUAAAAACUGUUAAAAGUAGCCCGACGGUUAUUUACAAAAACACGUUAUUUAUAAGGGCUAAAAAACAAAUUCCCUUUUUUUUCUCUUUGGUUUUGAACUACAAACAGAAUUCAAUAAUUGAUGAAGCUUUUUGUUUAUUGAGAUAUGAAGAAAAUCAAAGGAAGAAAAACGAAGUAGAAGAUGGAUUUCUCCAGAAAAGCUUGGGGUUUGGGUGAAGCUUAAUUCAGCUUUCAUAGUCACCCGAACCAGCAAUUUGCCAUGACAGUUCGCAACAGUAUCAAUCACGUGACAAACAUAAAGAAAAUUCACUGUUUCUUUUUCUCUAUUUGCAUGAUUAUGUUUGGACAAAAUUUUGAAACCUAUAAAAGGAUUCCAUCACUCAAACAUAAAAUGAUGGCUCAAAGUUAACAGUGCGUUCCCUAUACAAAAAGGAUUAAUCUUCCCAACUUUAAAAAACUACUAGGAUUACACUAUAACCAUGAUCCAAACAUCCUAAAUUACAAAAGCUGAACAAGCAAUCCACUAAAAUCUAGAUAAUAUUCAGCUCUUGAACUGCAACUAGGCCUUCAAACGCCAUUAAAUCAGCCACCCUAAUUCCACCAUUCCUUCUGUAAGAUGUGAUGAAUACUUCUCCAUGCUCAACUUUCGUAAACAUAUAUAAAUAGCUUGAGUUCUAAAUUGUUCAGGCUCCCAGCUUCUAGGUGUUGGGAGUGUUUGCCAUCCACUUAAGCUUGUGCUUGCUAGGUUUGGUCUUUCUGGGGCUCUUCUCUCUUGUCCCUAGUUUUCAACUUAACCAAUAGCUGGAUCAAGCACCGCAUUAUUAAAGGCGCAGCAAUCAAGGCGAACUGAACGUUUCUACAUCCGGAGUAACAGCAAUGACCGCAGAUCCGUAAGUUGUAAUUAUUAAAAUGCUAGCAACCCUUACUUUUAACUCAAAAGGAAAUUUAUGUGUGAGUGACAUAAUGACAAGCAUGGCUGCAGAAACGGCUAGGGUGUUUGAUGUCAAGAAAAUGUAAUAGGCCACUGUUUCAUAUGCAUAGACAGAUGAUAGCAAUGCUUGUUGUAUUGUCCUCCUUGGUUUCUUGCCAUACACCGCCAAAGGGGUUAACCCCAGCUUGGAAGGUCAUGGCAGCUAUUAGGGUGGCAACUACCAAGAGAGCGUUGUGGGUGUCGGCUCUAUUCUUCUCCUUAUCCUUCUUUUUGAACUUUCCUUGUACUGAAAAUAACGACACUAGUCCCUAAAAGUAAUCCCAACCAUUGUUUUCUCUUUGGUUAUGACCUACAAACAGAAUUCAAGAAUUGAUGAAGCUCUAUGGGGAUUGAAGAAAAAAAAGGUAGUAGAUGGAUUUCUCCAGAAAAGCUUUGGGUUUGGGUGAGUCUUGAUUCAGCUUUUAUAGCAAGCAAUUUACCAUAACAGUUGGCAACAAUUUCAAUCUUGUGACAAACGUGAAGUCAGAAGCGGAGGGAGGUAGGGCCCCAGGGGCGGCCUAAUAAGUUCAAAGGUCUAAAGUAAAAUAUUCAAAUGAGGCUUUUUUUAUUGAAAUUAAAAAAAUUAUUAAAAUUUUAUCCUUCUAACUUUUGGAGAUGUAAAAUUUUUAAUUAAACUUUUAUAAUCAAGUUAUUCUAAUAUAUCUUUUUCAAUUGAUAAUAUAGUCAAUCCAAUCUUUCUUGAGACAUUGUUGAUCUUAAAUAAGAUUUUAUUAAUUUUAGUUUUGAAAAAUUUCUCCUGAAGCAUCAUUUACUCGAAUUAUUAACAUUAUUUUAAAAAUAUUGAACUAUUAUAAUUAUCUUAUAUUUUUUAAAUGGCUAAUAUAAAAUCAACAAUCAAAAUUUUUAAUUCAAAUAAAUCAACUAUAACAUAAAAUAAAAUAAUAUAACAAUAUAAUAUAAAUCUAAAUUAAAGUAAAAAAAUCUGUAAAUAUUAGAACAAUAGUACCUAAUUAUUGAAUGCUUAUUCCAAAUCGUAAAUGAGUUUCACAACUUUAUGAAGAUAAUAAAAGAACGGACUUCUAGUAUAUUUUUUGGAGAAAAAUUGAAGUUAAAGGAAGAAAGAACAAAUGAGAAAGGAAGAAAGAACAAAUGAGAAAGGAAGAUUUUAAAAAUAGAUAUUAUACAUUGAAAAAAAUAAUUAGUUUUAUAUAUAGAAAAAAAAUAACUGUUGGAAAUCAUUAAAUAUAUUGAUUGGAAAUAACGGAAAUAAGUGCAUGUUUGGCCUAAAUUUUUUUUAGCUUAUCUACCUCUAAAAGUAAAAGUCAGGCCAAACAUGAUUUUUUGAUAAGCUCUUAAAAAAAUAAUUUUUUUUAAAAAUAAAAUUUUUAAAAAAAGACCUUAAAAAAAAGCUCCAAUGAGGAGCUUUUUCUUCUUUUCUUUUAAAAAUAUAAGAGAAUUUUUAUUUUUGUUCCAAAAAUAUCCUCAUUUAUUAAAAAUAAUUACAAUAUUAUCCUCUAAAAAAAAGAAAUACAUUCUAUGAUAAUUUUAACAAAAAUUAUAACUUAUAAAAGGAAAUUUACUAAACAACUUUAGCUUAAUUUUAAAAACUAUUAUUUUUCAUAAGAGCUUCAUAAUAACUUUUAAGUUUGAAAAAAGCCAAGCUAAACAGACUCUAAAUAAGAAAAAAUAUAGCUGUUGGAAAUGAUUAAAUGCAUGUAACUGUUAGUUUAUUGAAAAUAAAAGAAUAUAGUUGAGAAUUAAUAAUAUUCUAAAAAUAAAAAAAUAAUAGAAAAUUAAGAUUUAUUAAGCAUAUAAUUAAAAAAAUAAAAGAACAAAUAAUUUGAUGAAUUAUUUUUUAUUUUUUUAUUUUUUUAUUUAAUUAAUUAUGUUAUAAUUAUUAUAAAAUUAUAAUUUGUUUUUAAAAUUGAAGCCUCUCCAAAUUGAGGCCUAAAGCCCUUGCUUGGGUGGCUUCACCCUAGGGCAGACCCUGUAGGGCCCCCGUGCCCCCCUACCCCCUUUCUAAAUUUAAAAAAUUUAUAAAUAUUUUAAAAAUUUUAAACGCUUAUAUUAAUUUUUGAAAUAAGCAAUUUCUUAAAAAUAUAAAUACUAUUAACAGAAAUUAAAAAAAGAUUACCAUUUUAUUUUUUGUUAAUUUAAAAAAUUAUUAUUAUAUUCUAAAAAUUAAAUAAAAGAAAGGAUAAAAGCAUCGAUCGAGGCUCCCUAAGGGAGAAUCAAGGUCCCUAAGGGAGCUUCGGUGCUCCCCAUCUUGAGAGGUUUUUUUUUUUUAAUUAAUAAAAAAAUAAUAAAAUUAUAUAAAGUAAUUUUUAAAAUUAAUUAAGAGUAAAAUUUUCUUUUUACUCUUAUUACGUCAGCAAGUUGACGAAAAUACUAACGGUUAACUAACGGUUGGACUUAUGUGUCAAAUAGAAAAUAUUUUUUUGCUGAGUGUCCAUUUUGAAAACUAAUAGAUUUUCAUGUAAUUUCGAUUAAAACUUAGGUGGAUAAAGAUAUUUUAUCUAAUAUUUUUUAUUUUGUUUUAAAUAUUUAUAAUUUUAAAUUUAAAAAAUUUAAAAAUACUAGCAAUGACUCAAAGCAUCGAAGAAAGCAAAAAAGAAUUUUAUUCAUUGUGCACUGAAAUUAGGGUUAUCAAUAGAUAGGAUAACUGCUAAUUUUGAGAUACUUGAAUCUCAAUUUUAUAAGAAAUAAAGUAUUUGAAUCUUAUUAAUUACCCAAGUAUUUUUAAAAAUUACUACCUUAACCCUAACACUAAUACAUCACACUUAUCUUAUAAAUAUCCUAAGGGAUUUUUUUUAAACCCUUAUAAAUAACGUGUUUUUGUAAAUAACCGCCAGGAUACUUUUAACUAUUUUUAGCCAUCAAAAAAGAUUUUGGGAUAAAAAUGCCCUUAAUGAGCCGUCUUCGUUAGCGUACACUCUCAAACAGGCGAAAAAUGGGAGAAAAAAAAAUAAAUAUGCAAAGAUUGGUUGUGCAAAAUACCCAAAUUUUGUUUUCGAAGGUUGUGCAAAACAAAAUAAUGUUGCAUGAGAUGGGUUUUCAAAAAUUAGGGACAUGGUAUUCAGAUAAUAGGAGAAGAGAGAUAUUAAAUCGAACGAGGAACAGGUCGUCAUGAAUGGAAAGCUUGGCUAAUGAUGUGAAACCAGAAAUCCUUGAUACGGUGGUGAAUUGAAAGGAGAAAGAUGUGAAUCCAAAGCAGGAAAUGGCCCCGCUAUAGCAGGCCAUAUGUUAGAUGGUUAUCGCAGGGCAGGGUUUAGAGUUUGUGAAACGUCAUGUUGAGAAUGUGUGAGACGGCACCGCUCAGAGUUGGUGAGACGCCAUGGAGGGAAUCUGUAAGACGCCAAAGUUAAGAGUUGGUGACACGCCAUGGUGGGAAUGUGUGACACGGCAACGUUGAGAGUUGGUGAGACGCCAUGGAGGGAAUCUGUGACACGCCAAAUUAAGAGUUGGUGACACGACACGGAGGGAAUCUGUGACACGCCAGCGUUCAGGGUUGGUGAGACUCCAUGGAUUGAAUCUGUUAGACGUUAGAGUUCAGAGUUGGUGACACGCCAUGGUUUGAAAUAGAGAGAGAAAAAAAAACAGACAGUUAACGUGGUAAUCCUUUGGACUUUCACUGUAUCAAUUUCCCUUUUUCAGAAUAAAGAAUGUCAUUUUUCAUUUUAAAUAGUUAUUAUUUAGAAUUCGUAACGUUUGUGUGAUUCAUUUCUCAUUCCCACCGGUACCGAAGUGUUCGAGAAGGCUCUUUGCAAGCGGAACGAAACCACAGCACCAGCAAAAAUGUCGACCAUGAAUGAAGAGGUUAGUGGGUCUCAAAUUCGUAAUAUUCCUGUGUUUGUUAAUUUUUUGGUUUUUUUCUGGGUCUGUUUGAUAUGUUUGAGUUUUUGGUUUUGUUUUGCAAAUGUUUAGACUGUGUUUUCUUACUGGUUUGAUGGUUGUUGUGGUUAAGCUGCAGUGGUUUUAGCGGUUUUGGGUGUUUACCGUGUGACGCCAUUGUUAUUAUAGUUAGUUAUUAGCGUGUGACAGCAUUUUACUUGAUAUGCAUAGUGUGUGACAGCAUUUUACUUGAUAUGCAUGUCGUGUCACAAAAUUUAACUUAUUAUGCAUGGCGUUUGACAGUAUUUUACUUGAUAUGCAUGUCGUGUCAUAGAAUUUUACUUGAUAUGCAUCUCGUGUCAUAGAAUUUUACUUGUUAUGCAUGACGUUUGACAACAUUUUACUUGUUAUGCAUGGCGUUUGACAGCAUUUUACUUGAUAUACAUGACGUGUCAUAACCUUUAACUUGAUAUGCAUGGCAUGUCACAACGUUUAACUUGUUAUGCAUGGCGUAUCAUAACAUUUUACUCGUUAUACAUGGCGUGUCACAACAUUUUGAUUGCAAUGCAUGGCGUGUCACAACAUUUAUUCUUUAUUUAUGUCUUCAGUGUACCUUGUUGCACAUGACUGCUUAACUCACUGGUGUAUGUGUGCCAUAUUUUACAGAUCCAGCACAGACAGUAUGAGGAUCUUGACAGUUUGCUGAUCGUGUCGAAGGAGAAGUGGGCGUUCAAUGUCUCAAUUAUUACUCACUGUAAGUGGUCGCAGCUGCAUUACAUCAUAAAGACUCUCUAACAAAAUGGGGAGUAUGAUCUAGUUAAGCGUACCUGCUUCGGAAUGCUCUUGGACAUCUAUCCACAGGGGUACUUUUACGUCGGUCUCUUGCACAGCAUCAUGAUUCGUCGGAUCAUUGAGAGGCAGUCAAUGGACCACGAGCUAUGGUUUGCCAUUGGCAAGAGCAAGGCGCAGCUAUCAAAGUAAGAGUUCUGCCUCAUCACUGGGCUGAAGUUUGGUCCAAUGCCUGAUGUGUCAGACGACCGUACAAGGUAGUUACGGAUGGAAUUCAUGCAAGAUACUAGAACGGGAAAGGCAGCGUUAAGCUGCAGGCUUUGCUUGAUACCUUUCGCGAGGGCAACUUUCAGCGACCAAGAUGGCACUCAUCUUGAUCGCGAAUAACAUUUUAUUUGGUAAAGACUAACGUAGAUGGGUGACGCCUUGGUUGCUGUCAUUGGUGGAUGACAUCGACGCUUGGAAUGUCUUCCUAUGGGGGCACUAUGUUUGGAAGCUGACCUUGGACUACCUUUUGAAGGGGUUCGAAGUUCCUGACUUGAGCGUGCUAAAGGAAACUCGGUUACACUACAACAUUUACGGAUUCGCAUGGGUGAUAUAGGUACUAAAACAUAACAUUUUUCAGUUUCUUUUUGGACAAAAAAUUUAUGGGUGCAGUCGUUUAUAAUUGACGGUCUGAUAAGGGUUACAUUUGACAUGCGGUUCUGGGCAAUGGAGGCAAUUUCGGCCCUCCGAAAAAUAGUUACCCCCUCUGGUUCGAAGGACAACGUCCACCCAUGAAUGUGCAGAUGAGAUUGCAAUCAGAAGCCAAAAGACUUCUACAAGACAAUUCAGAAGUUAGAGUCAUCUGACAAAGUGAGUAAACAGCUGCUAAUUUUUGCGUUAUAUUUGUAAAAUAAUUUUCCCUAUUCGAUAAUGACAACAUUCUAUUUGUUUAUUUAUAGUUGUGGGCACUGGAGACUUUGGAACCCACCACAGAUAAGGCCCUCUGGGAGUAUUUUGAGGACCUUGAUGUCCCGUUAUCGGAGGGUAAUGAGUACGUGCCAAUAGGGCAUAUGGAGGAUCGGUCAGAUUGGGGCUUAGGUGCGAGGCAAAAAAAGAGAAGAUUGAAGGAGAAAAGAGCCUCUGGUGGCACGAAGCGGAUGCGCACAGUCGCUGCUUUAGUUGAUGAGUUGAUGGAUGAAGGGGACGACCAUGGUCAAGGCAAUGAACAGCUGGUAAAGACAAUUGUAACAGUUUUGUUUCUCCAAUUCCAUUUGUGAUUAUCGAAUAACAUUUCUAUGUUUGCAGCUGGACCAUGGGCCGGUAACUCCAGAACCACCCACCGGUCCUCCUCAGAUGCAGAGUGGAAACUACCCGUCGAUAAGAUCGAUUCUAACAGUUUGUAUUCUACAUUCCCACAUAUGUUUAUAGAGUAACACAGUAAUUUAUGUAAUUACAGUUUACGAAAACGAGGACAGGUCCUCAAGCACCAAUCAGUCCAGCCCAAUCGCAGACAGCUAACGAGCAGGCGGUAAGGAUAUUAAAGUUGUAACGGUUAAUGUUCAACAAUUCCAAACAUGAUUAUUGAAUAACACAGUUAUAUAUGUAAUUGCAGUUUACGGAAGCGAUGACAGGUCCUGAAGCACCGAUCAGUCCGGCUCCACCGCAAACUACUAAUGAACCGACGGUAAAGAUAUUAAAGUUGUAACAGUUAAUGUUCAACAAUUUCAUACAUGAUUAUUGAAUAACACAGUUAAAUAUGUAAUUACAGUAUGCGAAAGUGACGACAGGUCUUGAAGCACCGAUCGGUCCGACUCCACCGCAGAUUGCUAUUCAUGGUGUGUCACAACGUUUGAUUUUGAUAUGCAUGGCGUGUCAAAACAUUUUGCUUAUUAUCCUUGGCGUGUCACCAAGUUUAUCUUGUUAUGCAUGGCGUGUCAGAACAUUUUGCUUGUUAUCCUUGGCGUGUCACCAAGUUUAUCUUGUUAUGCAUGGCGUGUCAGAACAUUUUGCUUGUUAUCCUUGGCGUGUCACCAAGUUUAUCUUGUUAUGCAUGGCGUGUCACAACAUUUUAAUUGUUUUGCAUGACGUGUCACGACAUUUUCCUCGUUAUCCUUGGCGUGUCACCAAGUUUAUCUUGUUAUGCAUGACGUGUUACAACCUUUUAUAAUUUAUGGGUUGUGGUAUUUUAUGAGCUCCCUAAUGAUUUUUUCAAUUUUGUAGGGCGAUCCAUCUCACAGUGCUGGUCUGGAGCACGAUGAUGCUGAUAAUGGAUAGUAUCAUGAACCUGGUGUUGACAUUGACAAUGACGUUCUUGGUGCUGAUGGAGAGCACGUAACUCAUGUAGAUGACGUUGUCGAAGAAGCUGUGGUAGUGGAUGUCACCCUUCAGUCAGAUGAUGUUGAAAGAGAGCAUCUUCCUCCGGCCGAAGCAUUCGUCAACACAGCAGCAGGAGCUAUGGUUUUUUAUCGUGAGAGCACUCUUGAUGUAGUUGAGAUACGGUCGUCAUCACCAAAGUCAUCUGCUGUCCAUCAUGGUGCAACAGAAAUUUCAGACCCAACUAAGCGGCAUGACUGAAAAUGGCGAGCAAAUACAUGGCAAACCCAUUCGUCGACCCCUUAGUGACCCGUCUAGAUGUGAGGGAUAAAAUCGUAGAAGACUACGAAGCUUUCAAGAAAGAGGAGUCUGCGACGUAAGCUCGUAAAUAAAAUUGCAAAUAUUAUUUUUUAAUGAAACAGUUAUCCACCAAGACUUAUGAAAUUAAUUAUGUUACAUAUGCAGGCGUAAUGUCGGCAUCUUAGGGGAUCAAUGGGCUGACUUUUUCAUAACCUUAGAGGAUCCCAAUGAGGAAAUGACAAGUGAACAUAUCUACGCAUGCCUCAGCCUACUCUGCAAGCGAAUGACAGGGCCGAAGUCAAAGCUAUACAUUACCCGUGCAUGCAUGGUUGACACGAUAUUCUUCGUAAGUUUAUUUGAAAAUUGUUAAAUUCUACAAAUACUAAGUUUUUGAUUGCAUGAAGUGUAAGCUAAUGUUUACAUCUUUCACAGGACACCAUUCGUAUGCUACACACCGAAUUUCCAACAGAAGAUGCCCGAGCCAAAAUGCAAAUUCCAGAUGAGUUGCGGGGCUAUGUGGAGGGUGAAAGGCCAACGUACGCCAAAAAAUGGGAAGAUGUUGAUUUCAUUCUCGCGCCUUGCAACGUUGGUGGGCAUUGGGUGGUUGCGAAGAUCGACUUGGUGCGGUGGACGAUCAAGGUCGUGGACUCAACAAUAACUUCAGAUGCUAAGGAUAACGGAGUUCAUGCGGGUCAGAUGACACCCUUGACGACAAUGAUGUCAUUCAUUUGACACUCAGCCAGUUAUUUCAACAACAUACGUCAGAAAAGAUGGGAUUUGACGCUGAUGCUAUUAGAUAUUCAUUUGCCAAAAGCUAAAGUGCAUCGACAGAAUGAUAGUGUCAGCUGCGAUAUGUUCAUGAUAGGGUACAUCGAGCAUAUUUUGCAAUAAAAAAAGAUCGAAAUUAAGUAGAAUAUGAUUGCAAAAAUGCGUCGGCAAUAUGCUCUGAAAAUUUUUUUCAACAGUUGUGAGAGCAAACCCUGAACAUAUAGGCCCUUGUCUGUACAAUUUUUUUGGUACACAUAAAUUUUUUUAUACAAUUCAUUUUAUACACAUUUUUUGUAUACACAAUUUAUUGUAUACAAUUCAUUGUAAACAAAUAUAAUCCUUUAUGUAUACACAAUAUACUUUGUACAAUUAUUUGAUACACAAUUAAUUUUUUUGCCUAUACACAAUUAAUUUGAUACCAAGAAUUUUUUUCCUUUUCUAUAUACAAUAUAUUUAAUUUCAUACACAGUCGAAAAAAGUCAACGUGUGACGCCUUAAACAUGAUACCAGUCAGCGUGUCCCAACAUACAUCUACUUGCACUCAGUGUGUCACCCCAAAUUUCUGCAAUAAGUCAGCGUGUGACGUCGCUAAUCCACUAACACUCGGCAUGUCAACCGAGUAAUCUGCUUCCACUCAGUGUGUCAGAACAAUUGGGCCAUGGCGUGUUAUGCCAUAAAUCUCCAGAUACUCAACGUGUGACACCAUUAAUCUGCUUUUAGUCGACGUGUCAUAAGAAUUGGGCCGUCGCGUGUCACCCCAGUUUGGCAUUAAUUAAUUUUCAGGUUCGUCGUAUUUCUCUUCCAAGCACACCGGAUGCACUAACCCAACAUUACAUUGAUUAACAUUGAAUAUAUAGAUUUUUCCAUCCAUCUAAUUACUUCUAGCAUGAAAUUGUUCUGUAUCCAUCCUCCUUUUUUUUUCCAAUUAUUUUCAGGCCAAAAUUCUAUCCUGCCAUUAUAAAAUCGUACGUCUAAAUUUACACACCAGAACUUGUUAUGCAUGACGGGUCAGAACAAUUUAAUUGUUAUGCAUGGCGUGUUAUAACAUUUAACUUGUUAUGCAUGGCAUGUCACAACCUUUUUACUUGUUAUGCAUGGCGUGUCAGAACAUGUUGUUCAUUAUCCUUGGCGUGUCACUAAGUUUAUCUUGUUAUGCAUGGCGUGUCACAACCUUUUACUUGUUAUGCAUGGUGUGUCAAAACAUUUUGCUCGUUAUCCUUGACGUGUCACCAAGUUUAUCUUGUUAUGCAUGGCAUGUCACAACAUUUUACUUGUUAUGCAUGGCGUGUCAUUUCAUUUUUCUUGUUAUAAAUGGCGUAUUACAAUAUUUUAUUUGAUAUGCACGAUGUGUCACAACAUUUUACUUGUUAUGCAUGACGUGUCUCACAUUUAUUCCUUAUUUAUUUCUUCUAUAUACCUUGUUGCACAUUAUGGCUUAACUCACUGGUGCAUCUGUACCAUGUUUUGUAGAUCCAACGCAUAUAAUAUGAAGAUUUUGACAUUUUGUCUGCUCGGUCAUUCUAUGAGGCCCUUUUAGUUACGGACUUUGUUGCCAAACAUUUCAGGCAGAUAAGCAAAUACAUGGCUCCUGUCUGAUGGAGAUUGUAAUCGGAAACAUUUUUACGAACAAUGUAAGAAUGUACUUUAACACGAUCUUGAUCAGACAGAGGCCUUGACAUGCUUAUCUGCCUGAAAUGUUUGGCAACAAAGUCCGUAACUAAAAGUGCAUCAUAAAAUGAUCAAGCAAACAAAUCCGUAAAGCAAAACGAAUUCAAUUACAAUUUUCAGACACAUUUAGUUAGGCGGUCAAGCUGUCUUCAUUCACAACACACCUUAUAUUUUCAGAUAUUGUCCUUCAUAUUGGACAGUUGUUGCGUGAGUGACCAGUUUGUCUACAACUUGUACAUGUUUUGGGUCGGUGUAGUCGUGGAGUCGCUGAUUGACUUAGAGAUGGUGCUAGAUUUGUGGAUGGAACUGCAAAUGGGUAUGGGUAAUUUUGUCUGUUAUGCCCGUACCUCUUGUAUUGUGAACAUCUUCGUGCUCGACUACCUUCACUAGCUGAUGAAAUCCUUCUCCUCCUAGGUCUUCCUGUUUGACCUCGCCAAGGUGGGGGCAAGACUACAAUUUGUUUCACAUGAGGGGGGAUGUCCCACUCACUAGGAUGCCCUACCGACCUAAUGGAUCCUGAAUAACCCUUCACGAAAACGGUUGUCUUGUAGUAGCCAGCGCAUAAUUCAAUGGCUUCAUGAUUGUAUUUACUGAAAAACAUUAACAACUCAAUCUUCAAGCACAAUGUAAAUGCUAUGUCAAUUACGGUUCAAAUAAGAAAUAAAGAUAUUCUGACCUUAUUGCUGCAAUGGCAUGGCUGCAUGGUAGUAAAUCUGUUUGGAACUCACAACAUGAACACGUCUUCCUAGACAGGUUUACAAGUCCGUCCAUCUUCCCGUCUUUAACUUCGAACUCCACUCUAUUGAUAGGCUUAACUAAAAAGCGAUGUGCAUCAUUGAACCUUUUACUCAACUGAUUGGCAACCCAAGGGCUGAGGGGCGUGGUCACCUUGAUGGCCUCCUCAUACCAUUCAUGGAACCAACGCUAGAAUAUGUCUCUGAUGAACUCGAUCAAAAUAGUGAUUGGCAUUUGUCUUGCAUGCUUCAAGCAUGAGUUAACAUAUUCCGCAAUGUUGGAUGUCAUCAUUUGGUAUCGUCUUGCCGGUGAAAAUGCACGUGCCCAUUUCUCAUGCCCUAUUCUUAUAAGGUCCGCGUGGGCUCCCAAGUGAAUCUGCUGUAUCUAGUUCAUAUGCUUGUUGAAAUCGGCCACCUUAUAGCAAUCUCGAGCAAGGGUGAAAAGCAUACAAACAUCGUCGCUCUUGAACUUGUUUUUAAAGUUUUUUUUCAAGUGGUAAUCGCAUAAACCAUGGUGCGCUUCUGGGAAUGCAUUUUGGAUUGUUUUCUUAAUGCCGAGAUGCUGAUCAGAAAUGAACAUAGUGUUUUCAAGACAACCAACCGCAUCACGCAGCUUUCUAAGAAACCACGUCCACGAGUCUUCGUCCUCAAUAUGGCCGAUGCCAAACGCAAUUGGAUAUACGCACUCGUUCGCAUCUUUGCAUACAGCGACAAACAGAACACCUUUGAACCUACCUUUCAGAUGUGUCGCAUCAAUUGCAAUCGUAGGACGCAUUACAUCCCUAAACCCCCGAAUACAAGCCUCGUAUGACCAUAAACAAUAUUUGAAUCUUUUUUCCUCAUCAGUAGCCACUGCAGUCACUAUGCCAGGAUUUUUUUGUUCUACCAUAUAAAAAUACGAUGGUAGUAGCUGAAAUGACUCCUCCGAUGGAUCGAAAACAAGCCUCUCCGCAUACUCUUUCACUUGCCAAGCCUUACCAUACAAGCAUUCCAAUCCCCACUGAACCCUCAUAUCACAAAUUAUGUCUUUAGGUCUCAAUGCUACUCCAUUAGCCCGAAUCUUGUGUGACAUAAGUUCACUAAUCAUCUUCGCACUCGUAGUUGGAAACCACCCUUGCAAACCAUCAACGGUACAGGUGUGUACUUUGUGGAAUUUUUGAACUUUCAAAUAUUCUCCUCUAUCAAGUAACUUCGUUGCACGAACACUGAACUUGCAUGCCUUAUCCUUGCAACCAACCUCAUAACGAGCUUUACAUGACCUUUUUACUCUUAUCGCAAACUUCUCUUUUAUAGCCAACAUGUUCAAAGCUCAUUUCAACUCAGUCUUUGACGAAAACAUUCUUCCUUUGUAUAAGCGAUCUUCGGCACAUGUCGACUCCUCAGUGGUAAUUGUUUGGAAGGAGAACCUUUCUGCACCUGCAAUUACCCACGUACGAGAUAUCCUUGCAUUUCCCCUUUCCUGAUCACUGUCAUCGAGCAAUGUAUCAAGGGAAUGAAUCUCGUUCUCACCAGCAAUAGGGUUAUUGUAUAUGGGGUCAUCACACUGAACAUCUCAUACAUCAACACCUCCAACAGGUUUCGUUUCACCUUCAACAUUAUUACAAAUUGGAAUGUCACUGUCAUAAAGGCAGUCAUCGUCUGAACUGUCAUCUUGUGAUUGUUCAAGCCCAUCAUCUGAAAUGUGAUCAAAUCUAUCUUCACCGGUAGCGAACAAAUCCUCAUUUCCCUCAUCAAAUGCAGUAUUAUACUCCAGCGUCGUAAUGUCACCCUCCAACCUCACAUUGUUGUCCUCAACUGUCGUAUUCUCAUUUGACAAUGGCAUUACACAUUUUACAGUUUCACCCGAUCGUUGCAUUUUUUCAAGAGAAGCAAGAAAUUGGUUUGAUGCACAUCCUAAUCGAAAUUGUGCAGCCAACUAUUUUGUGAAUGUCGUCUGUCUACUGGGGCUGCACAAACUCUUGUGCGUACCUCAAUUGCCAUUGUUGUGGGUUACGGACUGAAUGUUGUGGUAUACGUGAAGCAUUGUAAAUCUCAUUUUGAUUGAGCUGAUUACCAUGUUGUCCAACUUCUCCAUGUGACAAGACAUUUGUUUGGCGUCCCUUAAUGCUGACAUACACAACCGAAACAUUUCUUUGUUCUAGCAAAAUUAAUGCAACAUCCUCAUCGUCCUUGAUAAUUGGCCGUAAUAGCUCUCCGGGUGUACUGAUCAAUGCAUGUAACUCAAUCUCGUCAAUUUUUGAGUUUACCCUAACAACAUCUUCAACCAGCUUCAUCAAGCCCACAAACGACAAAUCACUCCUAACCCCCCGCAUUCGUGACUCACCACCCUUCUAAAUGCCAUCCACCCACUAACCACCGUGUUUUAUCACAAGUCGCACAAUUGAAACCCCACUGAAUUUAAAAAAAAAUUGUCAAUCAUUUUACACAAUACAUGUCGUGAUAAAAAAUUUAUCAGUCGUGUUGUUACACGCCAUGCAAAUAACGUAAAAUGUUGUAACACGCCAUGCAUAUCAAGUCAAAUGUCGUGACACGCCAUGAAUCAGUAUCGUUACAUGCCAUGCAUCACUGUUGUGACACUACAAUCACUGUAAUUACUAACUGGUUACACCAACAUCCGUAACACGUUAAAAACCUAAAAAACCAGUUAACCCACGACACACCAGGAACAACCAUGACACGUCAAAAACCUAUAAAUUCAGUUAACCCACCACACCCUAAGAACAACCGUGACACGCUAACAACCCAAAUAACUAGUUAACCCACAACACGCCAGUAACAACCGUGACACGCUAAAAUAACAGUUCACUUAUGUUAUAGAUGCAUGGCGUGUAACAAUUCUGGGCAAUGUUUCUAAUCCAUCUUAUCAUUUACACUAAAUGUUUCAGAAAUUUAAGUGUGUUGCAGAAAUAAACCCAAUAACAGGUACCUUGAUGUCAUCUCUACUAUAGGGUGUGUUAAUCUACGACAAUGUCGUCAGAUACCGAGAGAUAGACCACAGCCCGAUGACAAUGGUGCUCAACAGAGAGUUGACAGAGCUCAUACAGUUCAGAGAUCUGAGAGAGCUGACAACGAUGGUGCUCAACAGAGACUUGCCAGAGUUGAGACAGAGAAAGAUGAUCGAGCCCAAACAGCUGCGCGUAUUUAUUUUUAAUGUUUUUCAUUUUCUCUCUGGCAGGAGGCAGAUGGCUCAAACAGCUGAGCAUUUAUUUGAAAUGAUGUUUUUAAGGGCAUUUUGGUCUACUCAUGUUUAUUUUUGGGUAGAAACAGACAACUUUAUAUGGGCGGUUAUUUAUGAAAUCACCUUAUCACGAGGUCCUUCUCUCACAAUUUUCUCAUUAUCCUAACUCGUUUAAAAACUCGAUUAUGUAAAAAAAUUAUUAAAAUGCUCUUCAUGGGUACCAGCACUCGAGUAUUUGACUCAUUGGUUGGUGCAUUAUCCCUCUAUUUAGAGAGUUGAGUUUGAAUUCCCCUUCCCUCAAUUAUAAAAAAAAAAUGCUAUUCAUGGGUAUCCCAUCACUCGAAUCCAAAUCCGUACUUAUAUCUAUAUACAAUAAUAUUUCUCCCACAUGUUUCAUAUAAUUUACUAAUUAUUAAAUUAAUAAAAACACACAAAUAAUAAAAUUUAAAUUUAAAUAAUUAAAAACAAAUAUCUCAAAUAUAAUUAAUAAUUUUAUAAGUUAUAAGUUUUGUAAUGUUAAUAAAAAAUAGAAACUAAAUAUGUUUAUAUUUAAAGUGUAUACAUACUAAAAGUAUUUUAGUAUAUAUAUAAUGGUAAGUAUAUUUCUUAUAAAUAAACCUAAUGUAUAAAAAGUAUAUAUAUUAAAAGACAUUACAAGUUAAUAAAUAAUCUAAGUUUCAUUAAUUAAUUUAAUUAAUUAUAUGAAUUUGUCCUUAAUUACAUAAAAUUAAAAAAAUAACUAAGUUUCAAAUCUCACAACUUUUCUUUAGAUUUAUAUAUUAUAAGUGUAUAUAAACAAAUGUAUAUAUAUUGUAAUUAAUAAUUUUAUAAUUUAUAUAUUUUUGUAAUGUUAACACAAAAUAGAGAGUAAAUAUGUUUAUAUUUAAAGUACAUACAUAUAUACUAAAAGUAUUUUAAUAUAUAUAACAGUAAUUAUAUUCCUUAUAAAUGAACUUAAUAUAUAUAAAGUAUAUAUAUUAAAAGACAUUAUAUGUUAAUUAAUAAUUAUAGUUUCAUGAAUUAAUUUAAUUAAUUAUAUAAGUUUGUCCUGAAUUACAGGAAAUUAAAAAAAAUAGCUAGGUUUUAAAACUAUUCAAAUUUCACAAUUUCUCUUUAGAUUUAUAUAUUAUAAGUAUAUAGAAAUAAAGGUAUGUAUAUUAUAAUUAAUAAUUUUAUAAAUUAUAAUUUUUUUAAUAUUAACACAAAAUAGAAAAUAAAUAUGUUUGUAUUUAAAAUAUAUAUUAAAAUAUUUUAAUAUAUAUAAUAGUAAUUAUAUUUCUUAUAAAUUAACAUAAUAUAUAAACUAUAUAUAUUAAAAGAUAUUACAAGUUAAUUAAUAAUCAUAUUUUUAAAAUGGCUAAAGGAACAUUGUUCGUACAUUGCAGUCUGGCUAUCAAAAGUCUCAUUGUCGAUCAAUUUCUGAAAUUUCUUUUGGUUCAUGAUUGUGCUUUUUUUAAUGGUCAGGAAAAUUCUAAAUACCCUGUACCAUCUGAUAAUGCAUGUGAAUAUACAGCUUGAACUUGAAACCCUUGGAAUAUAUCAGAUAAAAACAAUAUAAAAACUAGCAUUAAAAGUCUGACAGUGGGAGUUUCCUUUUCAUUGAUGCCCCAUUUUUCCCCCCAAUUCUGUUAAGGGUGAUACUUUUGGUUGAUACCUGCUCUUAUCCACCUUAAGAUUCUCACAAAAACUUUUCUUUUUUCUUUUGACGUGCCACUAAAAGUGCAUAGGUGACGAUUGUGUUCAUAAUUGGGCAGCAUUUCGGGCUGGAACAAAGAAUGAAAACAUUGAGUGGUGCAUAGAGCCCCUGGCCUGGGAUUUAGUGAUACUUACAAAGUAGGUGAGUUGACAACACUAAUUUGUACACAAAGAAAUGCUGUUUUUUUGCUGGUGGUUCAUUUGGGUACAGAGAUGGGUCAUAACAGAUUGCUCUAUUUGACAGUUGUCUUUAUUCUUUUGGAUGGGGACAUGGAACAUGUGCAUGCAGUCACAAGCAACUACUGAUCUGCUGGAGAGAAUAAGUGAUCCUGCAAAUUUUUAGCUUAGGAGAUAGAUGUAUACAAAGAGUGCUAAUAAUCCGUACAGAUUGUCCUAUUAGCCUGGCAAAUUUCUCUCUGUAAAUUAAUAUAAAGUUUUCAUAGGAUAAGAUGAUGAAAAUAAAGAUAAUAUGAUGAAAAUAAAAUAAUCUGAUACAAGUAUGUAAUCCAAAGAAGCCCCAGAAAAUGUCAACCUUUGGAUGCUAUCCAUAAAUGGAACAAAAAACUUAACAAACAAUUCAACCUUGCCAUGAAUCUGUGAUCUGCAAACCCAUGUUAGCUUGAAGAUUCAUGGGAAAUAGACAGGUUUCUUCUCCUCAAUUCGUUCAAUUUUGCAAUAUGCAUUGUGAAGUUCUUCUUAUGUUUGCUUGUCUACAACAUGUCCAGAUUUGAAGCUGAGUUCAGUGCAAUCGCAGACCCAGAGAUGAAUCUUUUUCCAUUUAUGGAGAUUAGGGAAUUCCAUCGGUGUAGAAAAGAUGCUAUGGUGUCAAUUGAGCUUGAUGAAUUAUGGCUAGACCGACAUAAAUCAAACUUUGGAGAAUGAUUACAAAUAGAUGAUCAUAUACCCUUUAAUUUUUUUUUAAAAAAUAUAAAGACAAAUUAAAUAACACAAACUUAAUUAUUCCUUCCAUUUUAUGAAAAAAAAAGAAUAUUGUUACCAUAGAAAAAGCUAUGCUACCUAUUCUUCUAUGACAAAAAUUACUAUGACAAUUCGUAACCGAACUUCAAUAAUUGAUGCAUCUAUUUUUUAUUUUAAAAAAAUAAAUUCAAAUUUUUUUAGAUAAUAAAAAAAAUUAUAGAGAAAUUUGAAUUUUCAUUUGUUGAACAUUUGAAUGAAAUUUCAGAUUAAAUAAAGUACAAUAACUAUUACUGUCGAAAUAAAUCAAAACUUGAUAGAUUCACGAGAUGUGAAAUAAAUAGAUACUUUUAUUUAUAUGGGCAUUUUAAAAAGUAGUCCUUAAAGAUAAGAUAUUUUUAAAAAUGACACUCUUUAUAGUUUUAACUAUUUUUAGCUAAGUUUGACAAAAUUACCCUUAAUGAAGUUACACGCUAUGAUGUUACACGUACAAAAAUCUAUAACAAGCCAUGGUUAGCAUGUUACACGCUAUGUACAAAAAUCUAUGACACGUCAUGUACAAAAACCUGUGAUAAGCCAUGGUUAGCGUGUGACACGCCAUGUACAAAAACAUGUGACACACUUGUACAAAAACCUGUGACAAGUCAUGAUUAGCGUGUGAAAUGCCAUGUACAAAAGCCUGUGACAAGCCAUGGUUAGUGUGUUACACGCCAUGUACCAAAGCCUAUGACAAGUCAUGGUUAGCGUGUGACACGCCAUAUACAAAAGCUUGUGAUAAACCAUGUACAAAAACCUGUGAAACUUCAAAUCCUUUCAAUAUUUUUUUUUAUUUUUUUUUUACAAUUUGGCAUAAAUUAAAGUGUUUCUAACAUGUUUUCAUAAAUCAAAAUACAAAUGUUUUUUUAUCUAAAGCACCCACUUUGACUAAAAAAAAAAAAAAUCUUUGAAAACCUAGAUUUAUAAAUUUCAAAAUUUUGAGUUUAUUGAUAUCUAGGUCAUUAAUUGAUUCAAUUAAAAACUAUUUUAUACAUUUGUGAUUAUUUCUACCGUUUUAGUUUUAUUCAAAAUACCUAAAAAUCGAAUUUUUCAAACAGCCACCCAUCCAAGCAUAUCAAAACCAUUGCUUGGUGUCUUGAAAGCAUAAAAAAAAGAAAUCUGAAAACGUGAGAGAGAGAAAUCGUAAGCAUAGCAAACGAAUACCGAACAGAAAAAUCGAUAAAAUUUGAGAGACUGAGAUGGUGAGAGAGAAAUCUGAAGCACAAAUGGGGAGAAAUUGUGAUAAAUGGUUUAAUUUAUUUGAAAUAGUUUAAAGGGUAUUUUCGUCAAAUCAUGACUAAAUAUGGCUAAAAAUAGUUACAUUUAUUUUGAUAGUUACUUUAAAAUAUUUUUAUCAAAAAAUGUCAUUUUCCAUAAUUUUCUCUUAUUUAUAUAUAGAACAUACAAAAUUACACACUUUAUUUACUUAUCAUACAAACUUAAUUUUACAUCACUUAGGAAGACAAACUCACAAAUACUAGUAUUGAUUUGGUACAAAACUAUUUUUUAUUUUUUAUUUUUCCAAGAUUUUUUUUUCUAUUUUUAAUCUUAUCAUGAGAAACCGGCAAAUCUUGGAUACAUACCCUACGUCCACAUCCCGUAAAUAUAUAUACAUAGCUUGAGUUCUAGAUUAUUCAGGCUCCCACCUUCUAGGAGUUGAGAGUGAAAGCCAUCCACCUAAGGCUUUGCUUGCUGGGUCUGGUCUUUCGGGGGCUCUGCUGUCUUGUUCCUAGGUCCGACAAAUGCCUGGAUCAAGCAUGGAGGCUCAGGUUUCCUGUUUACCAACUUAACCAACAGCUGGAUCAAGCACCGCAAAAUUAAAGGCGCAGCAGCUGUGAUCAAGGCGAGUUGAAAUUUGUCUCCAUCCCGGGUAACAGCAAAGAUUGCAGAUCCAUAAGUUAUAAUCAUUGAAACGCAGGCAACCCUUACUUCAAACUUGAAAGGAAAAGUAUGCGUGAGAGACAUAAUGAGAAGUACCGCUGCAGAAAAGGCUAGGGUGUUGGAAGUCAAGAAAACGUAGUAGGCAUCUGAGUCAGAUGAACAGAUAGCAAUGCCUGCUUUAUGGCCAUUCUUGGUUUCCUGCCAUACACCACCAGGGGGGUUAACCCCAGCUUGGAAGGUCACGGCAGCUAUAAGGGUCGCAACUACCAAGAGAGCGUUGCGGGCGUCGGCUCUAUUCUUAUCCCUGUCCUCCUCGUUUGCACCUUCCUUGUACUGAAAAUAACGACACCAGUCCUUGAAAGUAGUCCCAACCAUUGUUUUCUCUUGGGUUUUGAACUACAAACAGGAUUCAAGAAUUGAAGAAGCUUUUUGUUUAUGGGGAUAUGAAGAAAAACAAAGUAGUAGAUGGAUUUCUCCAGAAAAGCUUGGGGUUUGGCUGAGUCUUAAUUCAGCUUUUUAUAGUUCGCAACAGCAUCAAUCCCGUGACAAAUAUGAAGACAAUUCACUGUUCUUUUUCUAUAUUUGCAUGAUUAUGUUUGGACAAAAUGAGAAGUAGAUUCCUAUCUCAUCUUUGGACGUCAAUAAUUUAGAUUUUUUCAACCUUGUCAAUGUUGUUAAUUAGGACAAAAACCUGAUAGGCACUUCCACUUUCACUGCCAAGAUAUGUCUGUAUGAUUUGUAUUUCUCAAUUUUACACAGCAUUAUCUUCCCUCUUGGUCAGUGCAGGAAAGAAGAUUACAUAAUCAUGCAUUUCGAGUUUAUAUAAGUAUAUAUUUGAUAUUUUAAUAAGUCUUACUAUCCAAAAUUUCAGUAACACAAUAUUAUUGAAUACCCAUAAUUAAAGGGUUAUUUACAAAAUAUGUAUAAAAAUUAAAUAAUUAUAUGAUAUUUCGGUAAGUAAGUAUCUAAUCAUUAUUUUACGUAAUAAAGUAUCUAAUAUUUCAAUAAUUUUAUUUACUCAUGUUUUUCAUAUAAGUUAUUGAUAAAGCAUGUUUAUGGUGACUAAAUAAUAUAUGAAAAAUAAGAAAAAUAAUCAUUCAUUUCAAAGUUAGUAAAAAAAUUGAAAAAAGUUACGAAAAAUAAUCAUAUUUUUAAAAUUAAUGUUUUUGCUUUCCAAAAUUAUUUUAAAAGUUACAGAAAUCACAUAUUCUUAAAUUUUUACAUAAUGUUAUUCACAAAGAACAUAUUAUAAGCAGGUGGACUGAAAAUAAUGACAGGAGGGUAGCAGUCACUUUUAAUUUUUAAAUUUUAUUUCGAAAUCGAAUUAUUAACUUGAUAUAAAACUUUAUAAAAUUAUUUUUAAUUUUUUUUAAAUAAAAUUCUAAAUCGGUCAUCAAUUAUAAAUUUAAUAAAUCUCAUGUAAUUGAUUUCAAUUUUUGCUAGCGUGCAUGUGCAUAGUGGAAAUCUGGAUGACCUUGACUUAAAACGCCGGUCUUCAUAUCUAAAGCAUAGUUAUCCAUAAUCCAUAAGACGAGACAAAAGCCUUUUUGGAGUCACUGUUUUAUCAUGAGGACCAGCUGUGCUUAGUCCGACUUCGAAUUGCCGGGCCAUUUUUAGUUUGUUUCCAUUGAUGACGUGUUUGAGUUCAUGUCAGCCCAUGACCUCUCUUUCGAGGGCUUCAUCUGAAGUCAGCAUUGCAUUGCAUGAUGAGUUUUCUCAUGGAAGCCGCCGGGGACUGUUCUCAUUGACUGAGGUGUCUUUUCUUUAUCGUCCAGGUUGUCAUUUGAUUUAGUUUAAUGGUUGUUUUAAUAAUAUAGUUCAUUUUGCUGUCAAAAGAUGUCCUCAAUUAUGUUUCGCUUUUUGGAAAAAAGAAAUGAAAUCUACUGUGAUUUACUACCAUAGGCAUAUUUUAAUCUACUAUUAUUAGUCUUUAUUUGAGUUUAAAAUGUGUUUUUAUCAUUAUUUGUUCAAUUCUCGUUAGAAUAUAAGAUUGAAAAAUCAAAAAUAUAAGAAAAAAGUAUCAAUUAUAUAAUUAAUCAGAUAUAAAAUUUCUUUUAAUAAUAAUGAUAAUUUUAUUUAUAAUUGAAAAUAACAUGAUCAUAUAGUUAAUUUUACUGUCCUUAACAAAUCAGCUAUAGGCCCUUAUCAAUAUUACAAUUACAUUUUAACAUCAACAUCCAUUGCAAUCAAAAACUCAAGAGUGCUUUUCAUAAAUGGACUUGAGGCAUAAGACGUCUUUAAGAGUAGUCCUCUCUAUAAUUUUAUCUGUUUUUAGUCAAGAGAAAAAAAAUUAGAUAAAAUUAUCUUUAAUGAAAUCAACCCAUUCGCUAGGCUCCGUGCUUCAAUCCGAAACUUAUUAACGGGUCAAGUAUGUUUAGGUUUGCACCUUAAAUUGACUUAUAUUUUUUGAACUUUCCUUACUAGAUUAUUCAUCUCUGGUGUAUUUCUUACCAGAAAGAAAAACGUUUAAGCAUUUUGAAUAUUUUGGAGUAGUUUUUGAUACACAAAGAAAAUUUGUGAGCGUUUUGAACAUUUUUAUACAUUUUAGAGUGAUUUUUGAUAUAUGAAGAAAAACUUUCGAAUAUUUUGAGCAUUCAUAUUUGUUAAUUAUGUUGUUAAAUGAAAUAUGAUAUAUCGUUUGAAGUUGUUGAUCUUGUUAAAUGGAAUUCAGUAGUUUUGGUAUUUUUGAAAAUUAUGUGACUAGUUUUUAAGCAUUGCGUGACUGACUUUGGGCAUUACGUGACUGAUUUUUGAUAAGGCAUUGCGUAACUAGUUUCUGAUAAGACAUUGCGUGACUAGUUAAUAGACAUUGCGUUACUGAUUUUGGGCAUUGCGUGACUAGUUAAUAGGCAUUGCGUGAUUGAUUUUGGGCAUUGCGUGACUAGUUUUUUAUAAGGCAUUGCGUGACUAGUUUCUGAUAAGAUAUUGCAUGACUAGUUGAUGGGCAUUGCGUGAUUUUUUAGUAAGGCAUUGCUUAAAAAUCAGUCAUGCAAUGUAUAAAAACUAGUCAGGUAAUGCCUAAAACCAAUAAUGUAAUGACUAAAAACUAGUGACACGGUAAUUAAGUCACGUAAUACCUAAAAACCAGUAAACUCAAUUUUGAGAUUCUAUGAAUAAACCAACAAACUUAAGAACCUAAAACACUUUUUUUUUUUUUGCUAAGCCAUGAAAUUGUGAAUUUCAUAAAAGAUAGGUUACAAAAUUCCAUAACCCUCCAAAGCAAGAGAAAAUAUAUCCCUAUCGGGAGGUUUUGCUCACUCCCCUUAUACAAAAACAAAAUAUACCCUAUUUACAAAAUAUUUCCUAAACAAUUUCAACUCAAAAUCCCUAACAAACAUGCUUAACAAUCAUCCAAAUCCCAGACACAACAAAAUCGUGAAACACCAUAAAACUCAUCAAACAUGUUUUAGCUGUUCUUUCUCCCUGAGCAAAAUCGUUGUCUGCAAAAAGCAAAAUCGCUGUUCAUCGCCCUUAAAAACCCCGAGAUCCACCAUCCAAAAAAAUAAAACAAAAUAAAAAAGAGCUUGAUGUCAUAUUUGCGAAUUAGAUGACGAAAUAAAUAUAUUUGAGCAGAGAGAGAAAUCGAUAUUUAAUUUUAAAAUUUUUAUAUAGAUGGCAGGAGAGAGAAAACUGAAACCAUUUUAAUUUGUCUGAAAUUAUUUAAAGGGUAUUAUUGUCGAGUCAUAUCAAAAACUGACUUAAAAUUAUAGAGAUGGUUAUUUUUGAAGUCACAUUUCUAUGAAGGUCAUUUCUCACAAUUUUUUCAAAACUCAAAUAGUCCCCAAUAACCGGAUGCAAAAAAUUCAUAUAAAGAAGAACAACACUUACUUGAUUAAGAACCAAAUAAACUUCAAAGUUUUAAAAAUAAAGAACAAGUUAUUAUAUAUGUUGGCAAGAUAACAAUUACCAGAGGAGUAUAAUUCCGAGGUACUGAAUCAAUUCAUUGUACAAAGAGGAGCCACAUUCUAAAUUCCAUGUCGAUUUACGUUCGUCUCUAAUGCUUUCUCCUUGUAUCUGGACCAACUCUCCAUUUCUUGAGCAACCAUAUGGUAAACCGUGCAAACUCCACAAGAAAUAGAAUUCCCAUCACAGUGACCGUUAUAUAUAUAUCUCUCAUUUUCGUUGGACCUAUAUAGAUUAUAGCUACGACAUAAGUACCAAUCAUUGAAAACAUGGCCAGCCGCAAGCCUGCCCUGAAAGGGAAUCCACUGGUGAGGAGAAAGAUCAUGGCAACUGAUGCAAUGAAACCAAUUGAAUUAAAACCGAUGAACACAGAAAAGAUUGGAGGGUUUUUACUCAUGACAGCCUCUCCAGGCGACAUGGUUCUAGAUCUCUUCUGAACGGUGCUGACGGUCGGAUUGUUUUUAUUAUCUGAGUCUGACCAAAAACCACUUGGAGAGUUCAGAAUUGCUUGGUAUGUGAUCCUUGCUAUCAGGACUGCCACAAUCAUUAAUGAGUUUUUAGUUUCACUUGAUGAUUCCGUAACCUCUUUCAUCAGUUCCUUCCAUAGGUUCCAUGAAGAAGAAGAUAGCAAUUUUUGCUUAUUGUUAAAGUUUUCUGCUUCGGUUUGAACAUGUGCAGGGCCUGUUGUGCUUUCUCGGGCUUUCAAAGCUCCAGCUUGCUGAAAUAUCUGAUGAAUCUGAAUAUCAUAACAAUCACCUCCACUUUGGAGCAGAAGAUCUAGGACAUCCUUUGGCGUAAAGCCGCUUGAGUUUAUGGCAUUUACGUUAACGCCAGAAACAACUGCUUCUUGACCAAUUAACAGACCUAUAAUCUACAAACGAGUAAAUAUUCGUAAUUUACAACCUCUGGAACGAAUACCAACAACGCAAUCAGUGCAAUCUGAAUUUUUAGAAUAGCUAAGGAAUUAAACAGAGUUUAAUUAGAAUAACAUGCUUUAGACUCCACCAUGACCCAAACCAGGAUUUAGUAGCACAUCUGCUUGGACUUAUACUUCGAAUAUAAUAGAUUGAAAAAGAAGAAAAAAUAUAAUAGAUUGAAAAAGAAGAAAAACAAAUAAAUAAGAAAAGAUUAAGUAAUUAACUAGCAGGAAGAACUGCAAAACUUGCCUCAGGUUGUCUGUUGAAGGUCGCCUGAUGUAAUAUGGUGUUCCCAUCCUUUUCUUUCCAAAUCAAAAUUUCCAUCAUAUCUAACCUCCUUAUCUCCUCGAUCAGUACCCUUGCAGCCUCAAUCUGGUUACUCUUCACAGCCAAAUGGAGGGCAGUUUCACCAAAAGCAGUCAGUUCUUUAACAGACUCGGGGCAAGCCCAGACCUGUUCCUUAACAACAUCAACUCUGCCUUUCAAAGCCGCGCAAUGAAGUGGAACCUUACCAUCUUUUCCCUUCAAAAGACAUAUGUCAUAUCCAACUCUCAUAAGCUCUCUUAUAAUUUCAACGUGCCCUUUAGCCGAAGCGACAUGCAUCGGGCUAAAACCAUUUUCACUUAGCUCCCUAGCGAAUGCUGGCUUUCUGCUCACAAUUUCUUUUGUGAUUUCUGUUUGUCCCGCCAUUGCUGAUAUGUGUAGAGGAUUAUCGACAGAGUUUAACGCAACUCGAUCAAGCAGAAAUGGAUCUUCCCCGAGUAAUGAGUGAAAUGCAGAAAUAUCUCCAGAACGAGAUGCUUCGAACAAUCUUGGUUCCAUUUCUACUUGAUCUUGUUGCCCUUACCAGUGUGACAAAAUGUAGUGUGAGCUUUGAGUUUUCUUGGGACAUUUUAUAGUAUAUUUAAGGUGAUAGAAUUCGUCACCGGGAAUGGAAUUUGAUCCUAUGGGCAAGCUGGCAAGCAAUGCAAGCAAAAGACAAAAGGACUAUAUGCUUUUUACUAUUAAUUUACCUUUGAAACCUGGAAAGCGGCAUAGAAGGUAACUUAGAAGAUCUGAAAGAUUGAAUGGUCUAAAUUCAUUAAAAUGAAGAAGAAUUAAGGUUAAAAUUUUUUAAAAUUAAUAUGUUGAAUUUAAUCAACAAUUUUUUCAGAAUUGAGCUUGGAUAUUUUGAUUUACAUUGCUUUUAUUCAUGAGUUGAAGUAUUGAGAUUUAGUGACUCAAGUGUAAGAGAAUCAUUUGAAUGAUUUUCAUCUUUUACUGUUAAAAAAUUUAUCAAUUGUUUUCAACUUGCUCAUACUUUAAUUAAAUUUGGAAAAAAAAUUUAAUGCAGUCAAUAUCCAAUAUUUUUAUUUUAUUUUUAUUUAAAUUUAAAAUACUAAAUAUAAAAUUAGUAAUGCAUAAAAUAUAAAUAAUUAAAUUCGAUAUACAAAAUUUCAUAUAAUGAUUAAAUAUAUAAAUAGUUAAAUAAUAUAAAUAAAAAAAUUAUUUCUUAAUUUUACACAAUAGUAGUGAGUAGUCGCGUUCUAUUUUGUCCAAUUGUUGCAUCCACCAUUAUUUCUAUUAAAGGAAGAGGAAAAUCUUGUUCAAGUCCAAAAAGAGAGAGGAUAUUACACUUCUAUAUUUCCGUUAAAGAGGAUUUCCUAUUUGGGUUGGGUUUCCACUUAAAUGUGACCCCGAAUACCUUUCACACCUACUACUUCUACUUGCAAAGAGAGAUGAUGUUGCAACCUCCACCAAGUAUUGCAGAUUCCUCUUUAAGCCUUGGGAGGUCACUUAAAGCCCAUUUAUGCUUCAAUGAAGAAGAAUCCUCUCAUCAAAAGCAGCAACAACUAGCUGUUUAAGGCCUUCAAUGUUCGCUCUGAUUUCCUGAAUGAGUUAGAUACAGAGACAGUGACUUUGUUCAAACAUUUUGGGCUGGCAGGUUGAAUGCAUGACUUGUGCACUAAAACCCCACAUGUUCCCCCCUCUCUCUCUCUCUUCUUUUGGUUUCUUGUGGUUUCCUUUUUUGGGGUUUUGAAUCUGAAAUUGUUUAUGUAUGUACAGAUGGGAGUUUCUUCUUUACAGUCUGGCUAUCAAAAGUCUCAUUGUCAAUUAAUUUCUGAAAUUUCUUUUGAUUCAUGAUUGUGCUUUUUAUAAUGGUCAGGUAAAUACCCUGUAACAUCUGAUAAUACAUGUGAAUAUACCGCUUAAACUUGAAACGCUUGGAAUAUAUCAGAUAAAAACAAUGUAAAAACUUGGAGCUAAAGUCUGAAAAUGGGAGUUUCCCUUUCAUUGAUGCUCCUUUUUCCUCCCAAUUCUGUUAAGGGUGGUACUUUUGGUUGAUACCUGCUCUUAUCCACCUUAAGAUUCUCACAAAAACUUUUCUUUUUUCUUUUGGGGUGCCACUAAAAGUGCAGAGGUGACAAUUGUGUUCAUAAUUGGACAGCAUUUGGGGUUGGAACAAAGAAUGAAAACAUUGAGUGGUGUGUAGAGACCCUGGCCUGGGAUGUACUGAUACUUACAAAGUAGCUGAGUUGACAACAAAUUUUGUACACCAAGAAAUGCUGUUUUUUGGCUUGUGGUUCUUUUGGUAUAGAGAUGGGUUAGAACAAAUUGCUCUAUUUGACAGUUGUCUUUAUUCUUUUGGAUGGGGACAUGGAACAUGUGCAUGCAGUCACUGGCAACUACUGAUCUGCUGGAGAGAAGUGAUCCUACAAAGUUUUAGCUUAAGAGAUAGAUGUAUACCAAAAAUGCUAAUAAUCCGUACAGAUCGACCUAUUAACCUGACAAAUUUCUGUCUGUAAAUUAAUAUAAAGUUUUCAUAGGAUAAGAUGAUGAAAAUAAAAUAAUCUGAUAGAAGCAUGUAAUCCAAAGAGGCCCAAGAAAAUGUCAACCCUGCAUGCUGUUGAUCUAAGAAAGACAAACAUUUAAAAUCGAAAAAAGAAAAAGUUGUGUGGGUCUUGCGGGAUAUAAACAAAAAGCUGCUUUCAAGCUUGGGCCUCAGCCUGGUAAGAGUGUAAUCAAACCCAACUAGUCUUCGAGCAAGACUAGCCCUUUGGUCCAAACCUAGCAAAACAAUACAACAUUGCCAUGAAUCUGUAAUCUGCAAACCUAUGUUAGCUUGAAGAUUCAUAGGAAAUAGACAGGUUUUCUUCCCCCUUAAUUCGUUAAAUAAUGCAAUACGCAUUCUCAAGUUGUUCUUGUGGCUAGCUUGUCUACAACAUGUCCAGAUAUCAAGCUGAGUUGAAUGCAAUUGCAGACCCAGAAAUGAAUGCUUUUCCAAUUAUGGAGAUUGGGGAAUACAUCAGUGUAAGAAGAUGCUAUGUUCAAUGGAGCCUGAUGAAUUAUGGCUAGACCGACAUAAAUCAAACCUGGAGAAUGAUUACAACAUGAUAAUCGAUCAUAUAUCCAAAUGAAAUUGCACAAACUUAAUUAUUGAAACGCUAGCAACCCUUACUUCAAAUUUGAAAGGAAAUUUAUGUGUGAGUGACAUAAUGACAAGUACUGCUGCUGAAAAGGCUAAGGUGUUUGAUGUCAAGAAAACGUAGUAGGCUGCUGUCUCAGAUGCAUAGAUAGAUGAUAGCAGUGCCUGCUGUAUUGUCCUCCUUGGUUUCCUGCCAUACACCACCAAGGGAGGUUAACCCCAGCUUGGAAGGUCACGGUAGCUAUUAGGGUGGCAACUACCAAGAGAACGUUGCGUGCGUCGGCUCUAUUUUUCUCCUUAUCCUCCUUUUUUGCACCUUCCUUAUACUGAAAAUAACGACACCAGUCCCUGAAAGUAGUCCCAACCAUUGUUUUCUCUUUGGUUAUGUCUUACAAACAGAAUUCAAGAAUUGAUGAAGCUCUAUGAGGAUUGAAGAAAAAAAGGUAGUAGAUGGAUUUCUCCAGAAAAGCUUUGGGUUUGGGUGAGUCUUGAUUCAGCUUUUAUAGCAAGCAAUUUACCAUAAUAGUUGGCAACAAUUUCAAUCUCGUGACAAACGUGAAGUCAGAAGCGGAGGGAGGUAGGGCCCCCGCGCCCCCCCACCCCCCUUCUAAAUUUAAAAAAUUUAUAAAUAUUUUAAAAAUUUUAAACGAAUAUAUUAAUUUUUAAAAUGAACAAUUUACUUAAAAAUAUAAAUACUAUUAACAGAAAUUAAAAAAAGAUUUAAUAUAUUAUUUUUUAUUAAUUUAAAAAAUUAUUAUUAUAUUCUAAAAAAUUAAAUAAAAAAAAGAUAGAAGGAAUGGUUGGGCGUACGCCCAGCCAUCCCUUCCCCAACCACCCUGAAUGAUGAGGUUCUGGCUACCAACUCCUUGGUGCCAGAACCCCAUUGCCAGGUUGUCCAAAUUUUUGGACAACCCAACUGUUAAAAAUCAAACCUGCAAAACCAAAAAAAGAGGACAACCAAGAAAACAAGAUAAAAAAUCCAAAAAAUCCUAACCUACCAGCAGACUACCCUAGCCAUAAUAACAAAAAAAAAACAAACACAAAACAAAAACAAAAAAGGAGAAGUUAGAUCUGGAAAAAUGAGUGAGAGGGGGGUUUAAGGGUAAAGAAAAAAGUUUUUUUUCGAGUAGGGGAGAAUCGGAAGGGAGACCUACAACAAGGGAGGCCUACCGACAGAAAGUUGAAGAAGGAAGAAGGAGAGAAAAGAAGAUAGGAGAUCUACCGGGCGAGAGAGAAAUACAGAAGAGAAAGCCGAAGGAGAGGGAAAGAGAGGGAUCGGCUGGCCAAAGGGGAAGUUGAAGAGAGAAAGAAAUGAAAAAGAAGAAAAAGAAGAAAAGAAAAAGUUAGGGAGAGGAUAGAGAGAGUGACGGCUAGAGAGAGAAAAAGAGAGCCAAAAAUGAAAGAGGAAGAAGAAAAUAAGGUUUAAAUACCUAGGGCUUGAGGGCCAAAACGACGUCGUUUUGUGUUGUCUUUGGGUGUUUGAAUUAGCACUAAACGGUGCGUGCAGGAGAAGAAGCUGGUGGUUUAUGGGAAUUUGCUGGUUACGGAUUAAAGCUUACCAGGCCCACUAUCUUUUCUCAGCACCAGGCCCAUCUAUUAGGCCACCUAAAGGCUUUGCUACACCUUGGAAAAAAAAAAAAGAGCCCACACAAGGUAAGACAUUUCUUCUCUUUUUGGGUUNCACAUGUUUCAUAUAAUUUACUAAUUAUUAAAUUAAUAAAAACACACAAAUAAUAAAAUUUAAAUUUAAAUAAUUAAAAACAAAUAUCUCAAAUAUAAUUAAUAAUUUUAUAAGUUAUAAGUUUUGUAAUGUUAAUAAAAAAUAGAAACUAAAUAUGUUUAUAUUUAAAGUGUAUACAUACUAAAAGUAUUUUAGUAUAUAUAUAAUGGUAAGUAUAUUUCUUAUAAAUAAACCUAAUGUAUAAAAAGUAUAUAUAUUAAAAGACAUUACAAGUUAAUAAAUAAUCUAAGUUUCAUUAAUUAAUUUAAUUAAUUAUAUGAAUUUGUCCUUAAUUACAUAAAAUUAAAAAAAUAACUAAGUUUCAAAUCUCACAACUUUUCUUUAGAUUUAUAUAUUAUAAGUGUAUAUAAACAAAUGUAUAUAUAUUGUAAUUAAUAAUUUUAUAAUUUAUAUAUUUUUGUAAUGUUAACACAAAAUAGAGAGUAAAUAUGUUUAUAUUUAAAGUACAUACAUAUAUACUAAAAGUAUUUUAAUAUAUAUAAUAGUAAUUAUAUUCCUUAUAAAUGAACUUAAUAUAUAUAAAGUAUAUAUAUUAAAAGACAUUAUAUGUUAAUUAAUAACUAUAGUUUCAUGAAUUAAUUUAAUUAAUUAUAUAAGUUUGUCCUGAAUUACAGGAAAUUAAAAAAAAUAACUAGGUUUUAAAACUAUUCAAAUUUCACAAUUCCUCUUUAGGUUUAUAUAUUAUAAGUAUAUAUAAAUAAAGGUAUAUAUAUUAUAAUUAAUAAUUUUAUAAAUUAUAAUUUUUUUUAAUAUUAACACAAAAUAGAAAAUAAAUAUGUUUGUAUUUAAAAUAUAUAUUAAAAUAUUUUAAUAUAUAUAGUAGUAAUUAUAUUUCUUAUAAAUUAACACAAUAUAUAAACUAUAUAUAUUAAAAAAUAUUACAAAUUAAUUAAUAAUCAUAUUUUUAAAAUGGCUAAGGGAACAUUGUUGGUACAUUACAGUCUGGCUAUCAAAAGUCUCAAUGUCGAUCAAUUUCUGAAAUUUCUUUUGGUUCAUGAUUGUGCUUUUUUUAAUGGUCAGGAAAAUUCUAAAUACCCUGUACCAUCUGAUAAUGCAUGUGAAUAUACAGCUUGAACUUGAAACCCUUGGAAUAUAUCAAAUAAAAAUAAUAUAAAAACUAGCAUUAAAAGUCUUAAAGUGGGAGCUUCCUUUUCAUUGAUGCUCCUUUUUUCAUCCCAAUUCUGUUAAGUGUGGUACUUUUGGUUGAUACCUGCUCUUAUCCACCUUACGAUUCUCACAAAAACUUUUCUUUUUUCUUUUGGGGUGCCACUAAAAGUGCAAAGGUGACGAUUGUGUUCAUAAUUGGGCAGCAUUUCGGGCUGGGACAAAGAAUGAAAACAUUGAGUGGUGCAUAAAGCCGUUGGCUUGGGAUUUAGUGAUACUUAUUGUCAUAACGUGAGGGUCCGAGAAUCCAAUCACUAGACGUGAACGAAAAUAAAAUAUCUAGGAGUCGUCGUUAAUCUUUUUUUUAUUUAGGUGUGAUUGGCCACCUAUUAACCCUAUUAUAAUUAAUGAAGUUCUAAUUUAAUUUUAGAUCUAUUGACAGAACGAGAACUGAUCCACGUUUUUUAGAUAUAGGUUUAGGAGUGCGGUUACGCAUGGAGAAGGGUUAGCACCUUCGUGACGCCCGUUCCACAAACGAUACCAUUUAAUCUUAAGUUAUCAUAUUGAAGCCUACCUUGAUUUUAUUCCUGUGUUUCCUUAAUCCUUUUUAUUAAUUAAUUCUUUGUUAUGUUAUCUGCUUGAAUCUUUUAGUCGGUUUUACGGAUGCACAUGACGCAGUCAUAAAAUGAUGUUAUGAUUUGUCGAAUUUUAAAUGAUGAGGUCGGCAAUCUUUUAUUGAAAAAUCAUUCGUAGAUCAUCCCAGCGCUUUGGUGAAGUUUCGAAGUUUUUCUCACCUAGGGAUAUCCCGAGAAAGACUCGUCUCUGUGAGCUCUUCGAGAAAAUCCCAUCAUCGAAAUUUUAACCCCAACAGCAAGAUAUAUGUGGUAUGCUAUGACAGUAUAAAAAUGAUGAUAUCGACAUGACCAUGUUUAUUAAUUAGUUGGUUGGUAAUAAUAACAUGUUUAAUAAUUUAAGGUGAUUUAUUACCUUAUUUAUAUAUAUUUUUAUUAUUAUUAUUAUUAUUUAUGUAUAUUAUUUUAAACAACAAUUAUUUGGACUAAUGGGUAUCGGAGUAUAGAAUUCGAAUUUAUCCCGACGCUUCAAUGAAAAUUCAUCUCGAACUCCGUACCUAAGAAAUCCACUGGAAAGAGGCAAUUCUUUGCCCUUUUUAGGUGAAGUUCUAUCAUCGGAUCAACUCAAAUUAACCGCUUGAUUUUUUUUAUAUUUGUAAUUUAAUAUUAUAUUGUACAUUCUAUAUAUUUAUAAAUAGCUAGAUCAAUUUUGUAAUACUUUAUUCUCAUUUUUUAUUUCUUUUCAUUUUUUUAGACCCAUUUCUAUUAUUUAUUAAUUAUUUUAUACAUAUUUAAAAAAAACUAAGUACUUUCUAAUCUUCCAUUUAAUUAAUUAAUUUUUUUUACCUUGUUCAUUCACCUAUUUUUUGUUAUAUGUUCAUAUAUAUAUUUAUACAUGCAUAUCUAUUAAUUUACUACAUUUACUAUCUAUUGUAUUAAAUAUUUUCAUUUUUAGCUUUCAUAUGUUUUAUUUUUCAUGUGCAUAAAUUUCAAACAACACCAAAAAUAAUAAAACUAUUAUAACACUUAAACAAGAAAUUAAAUAACCAUUUUCAGUAGUUCAAGCCCAAACCAUUAUUUAAUGAAUAAAUCCAAUACCUAUUGGGUUGUAACUAACCCACUGCUUCAAAUGGGUUCAAGCUCCACUAGGCUUCAAAGGUCCCCUCCAAUUCGGUUUGGGCCCAAAGGGUCUGCUGCACUUGUUUUUUUUCUGAUUUGGGCUUGAAUAGUUCAAGAAUGCCUUAGCCCAAGGAGGAUAUCAAGCUUGCCGCAACAAGCCACUUAAUCCUCUUCAAUGUGCGUCGUUUUUGGCUUUCAAAAAUGCUUCAAACGACGUCGUUUUGAUCUCUUAUACCUGGGUAUAAAAGCUUCUUUUCUUUUCUCUCUCUUCACUUUCCUCUCUCACUUUCUCUCUCUUGCCACAAUUCUCUCAAUCUUCUCCUUAAGCUUUUCUUUUUUUUCUUUUCUUCUUCUCUCUUUUUUUUUUCUUUCUUUCUUGGCUCGCAGAUCUCCCUCCUCUCUCUUUCUCCCAGCUUCUUCCCCUCUCUUUUGCCGCCGGCGUCCCUUCUCCUCCACCGACCAGAUCUGGGUCUCCAAGACCUUUUUUUUUUUUUCUGCUUUCUCCUUUUUUACUUUUUGUGUUUUUUUGUUGUGAUUUUGGUUUUUUUAGUGCUUGUGGUUAGGUAUUUAAGCUGGUAGAUCUUAGGAUUUUUUUGUUUCUAAAAAUCUGUGUUGUUUUUUUUUUGUGUUCUUGAUUGUUGGAUUUUUUUUGAAGAAGAUGGAGUUUUUUUUUUUAAUCCGAUUUUUCUUUUCCAAAAAUCCCCCCUCAGCCUCAGAUUUUUCAAGGUUCUUUUAGAACCCAAUUGUCUAAAUCUUUGGACAAUCAUGAUCUUGGCAACACUAAUUCUGGAUGGGUAACCUUCAGGUCAAAAAAAAUUCACCAAAAAUGAAAUCAAAUCUCAGCUGCCAGAAGAGCAUUGAAUGCUCUGUAUUUUGUUGACAAUGAAGGCUAAGCGUGCUUCCAGCGUUUUUUUUUUAAUUUUGAUUUUUUAAUUUUUUAUUUAUUAUUAUUGUUUUUAUUUUAUUAAAAAGAAGUGUCUACACUUACACAGUAGGUGAGUUGACAACACUAAUAUGUAUACAAAGAAAUGUUGUUUUUUUGCUCGUGGUUCAUUUGGGUACAGAGAUGGUUCAGAACAGAUUGCUCUAUUUGACAGUUGUCUUUAUUCUUUUGGAGGGGGACAUGGAACAUGUGCAUGCAGUCACCAGCAACUAUUGAUCUACUAGAGAGAAGAAGUGAUCCUGCAAAUUUUUAGCUUAGGAGAUAAAUGUAUACAAAGAGUGCUAAUAAUCCGUACAGAUUGACCUAUUAGCCUGGCAAAUUUCUCUUUGUAAAUUAAUAUAAAGUUUUCAUAGGAUAAGAUGAUGAAAAUAAGGAUAAUAUGAUGAAAAUAAAAUAAUCUGAUACAAGUAUGUAAUCCAAAGAAGCCCCAGAAAGUGUCAACCUUUGGAUGCUAUCCAUAAAUGGAACAAAAAACUUAGAAAACAAUUCAACCUUGCCAUGAAUCUGUGAUCUGCAAACCCAUGUUAGCUUGAAGAUUCAUGGGAAAUAGACACGUUUCUUCUCCUCAAUUCGUUCAAUUUUGCAAUAUGCAUUGUCAAGUUCUUCUUAUGUCUGCUUGUCUACAACAUGUCCAGAUUUGAAGCUGAGUUCAGUGCAAUUGCAGACCCAGAGAUGAAUCUUUUUCCAUUUAUGGAGAUUAGGGAAUUCCAUUGGUGUAGAAAAGAUGCUAUGUUGUCAAUUGAGCUUGAUAAAUUAUGGCUAGACCGACAUAAAUCAAACUUUGGAGAAUGAUUACAAAUAGAUGAUCAUAUACCCUUUAAUUUUUCUAAAAAAAAUAUAAGGGCAAAUUAAAUAACACAAACUUAAUUAUUUCUUCAAUUUUAUGAAAAAAAAAAAGAAAUAUUGUUAUCAUAGAAAAAGCUAUGCUACCUAUUCUUUUAUGACUAAAAUUACUAUAACAAUUCGUAACCGAACUUCGAUAAUUGAUGCAUCUAUUUAUUAUUUAAAAAAAUAAAUUUGAAUUAUUUUAAAUAAUAAAAAAAUUAUAGAGACAUUUGAAUUUUCAUUUGUUGAACAUUUGAAUGAAAUUUCAAAUUAAAUAAAGUACAAUAACCAUUACUAUCGAAAUAAAUCAAAACUUGAUAGAUUCACGAGAUGUGAAACAAACAGAUACUUUAUUUAUAUAUAGAGCAUACAAAAUUACACACUUUAUUUACUUAUCAUACAAACUUAAUUUUACAUCACUUAGGAAGACAAACUCACAAAUACUAAUAUUAAUUUGGUACAAAACUAUUUUUAAUUUUUUAUUUUUCAAGAUUUUUUUUUCUAUUUUUAAUCUUAUCAUGAGAAACCUGCAAAUCUUGGAUACAUACCCUACGUCCACAUCCCGUAAAUAUAUAUACAUAGCUUGAGUUCUAGAUUAUUCAGGCUCCCACCUUCUAGGAGUUGAGAGUGAAAGCCAUCCACCUAAGGUUUUGCUUGCUGGGUCUGGUCUUUCGGGGGCUCUGCUGUCUUGUUCCUAGGUCCGACAAAUGCCUGGAUCAAGCAUGGAGGCUCAGGUUCCCUGUUUUUCAACUUAACCAACAGCUGGAUCAAGCACCGCAAAAUUAAAGGCGCAGCAGCUGUGAUCAAGGCGAGUUGAAAUUUGUCUUCAUCUCCGGUAACAGCAAAGAUUGCAGAUCCAUAAGUUAUAAUCAUUGAAACGCCAGCAACCCUUACUUCAAACUUGAAAGGAAAAUUAUGCGUGAGAGACAUAAUGACAAGUACCGCUGCAGAAAAGGCUAGGGUGUUGGAAGUCAAGAAAACGUAGUAGGCAUCUGAGUCAGAUGCACAGAUAGCAGUGCCUGCCGUAUGGUAAUCGUUGGUUUCCUGCCAUACACCGCCAGGGGGGUUAACCCCAGCUUGGAAGGUCACGGCAGCUAUAAGGGUCGCAACUACCAAGAGAGCGUUGCGGGCGUCGGCUCUAUUCUUAUCCCUGUCCUCCUCGUUUGCACCUUCCUUGUACUGAAAAUAACGACACCAGUCCUUGAAAGUAGUCCCAACCAUUGUUUUCUCUUGGGUUUUGAACUACAAACAGGAUUCAAGAAUUGAAGAAGCUUUUUGUUUAUGGGGAUAUGAAGAAAAACAAAGUAGUAGAUGGAUUUCUCCAGAAAAGCUUGGGGUUUGGCUGAGUCUUAAUUCAGCUUUUUAUAGUUCGCAACAGUAUCAAUCCCGUGACAAAUAUGAAGACAAUUCACUGUUCUUUUUCUAUAUUUGCAUGAUUAUGUUUGGACAAAAUGAGGAGUAGAUUCCUAUCUCAUCUUUGGACAUUGAUUAUGAUUACGUCUGUUAAUUAAUUAAUAAUUUAGUUUUCUUCAACCUUGUCAAUGUUGUUAAUUAGGACAAAAACCUGAUAGGCACUUCCACUUCCACUGCCAAGAUACGUCUGUAUGAUUUGUAUUUCUCAAUUUAAUGGCAUCAUCUUCCUUUUUGGUCAAUGUAGGGAAGAAGAUUACAUAAUCAUGCAUUUCUAGUUUAUAUAAGUAUAUAUUUAAUAUUUUAAUAAGUCUUAUUAUCUAAAAUUUCAGUAACACAGUAUUACUGAAUACCCAUAAAUAAAGGGUUAUUUACGAAAUACGUAUAAAAAUUCAAUAAUUAUAUGAUAUUUCGGUAAGUAAGUAUCUAAUCAUUAUUUUACGUAAUAAAGUAUCUAAUAUUUCAAUAAUUUUAUUUACUCAUGUUUUUCAUAUAAGUUAUUGAUAAAGCAUGUUCAUGGUGACUAAAUAAUAUAUGAAAAAUAAGAAAAAUAAUCAUUCAUUUCAAAGUUAGUAAAAAAUUAUUUGAGUUUAAAAUGUGUUUUUAUCAUCAUUUGUUCAAUUCUCGUUCGAAUAUAAGAUUCAAAAAUCGAAAAUAUUAGAAAAAAGUAAAUAUCAAUUAUAUAAUUAAUCAAAUAUAAAUUUUUUUAAUAAUAAUGAUAAUUUUAUUUAUAAUUGAAAAUAACAUGAUCAUAUAGUUAAUUUUACUGUCCUUAACAAAUCAGCUAUAGGCCCUUAUCAAUAUUACAAUUACAUUUUAACAUCAACAUCCAUUGCAAUCAAAAAUUCAAAUAUUUUUCGAUAACAGAAUACAGAAAAUUCCUACAAAGAAGAAUAACACUUACUUGAUUAAAAAUCAAAUAAACUUCAAGAUUUUAAAAAUAAAGAACAAGUUAUUAUAUAUGUUGGCAAGAUAACAAUUACCAGAGGAGUAAAAUUCUAAGGUACUGAAUCAAUUCAUGGUACAAAGAGGAGCCACAUUCUGAAUUCCAAGUCGAUUUCCGUUCGUCUCCAAUGCUUUCGCCUUGUAUCUGGACCAACUCUCCAUUUCUUGAACAACCGUAUGGUAAACCGUGCAAACUCCUCAAGAAAUCGAAUUCCCAUCACAGUGACCGUGUUACAUAGAUCACUUAUUUUCGUUGGACGUAUAUAGCUAAUAGCUACGACGUAAGUAGCAAUCAUUGAAAACAUGGCCAGCCGAAAGCCUGCCCUGGGAGGCAUGGGCGGACCCAUGUAUAUGUGUGUGGUGUCACAUGACACCACUCAAUUUAAAAGAAUAUUUAUUUAUUAUAUUAUUUUUUAGAGUUUAUAUAUUUAAUAAUACUAUAAACUUAUUAUUUUUUUAUAAUUUUGUAAAAAGUGUGUUCAAAAAGUAAAUUUUAUUAAAAAAUUUAUAUAUUAAUAAUAUUUAAAUAUUUUUUAAAAAAAUAUUUAAAUAUUAUCAAAAAGUAAAUUUAUCAAAAAAUAAUUUAUAUAUUAAUAUUUAAAUUCUACAUGAAAAAUUAAAAUAUUUUUUUUAUAAUUUAAAAUUUUAUUAAAAAAGUCAAAACCUAAACUACUCUCACUCUUCAAAAAUUUUAAUCUUAUUAUUGAGACUUACAGUGACUUUCUUCUUUUCUAUAAUUGAUUGUGUUUUUCAUUUUCUUAAAGUAACUCAACUAAAUUUUAAUUGUAAAAAAUUUUUAAACCAAGUUAAGUUUUUAAAUAUUUCAUGUUUAAAUAUUUGUUGAUUAAUUUGAUAGUUUGGAUUCAUAAUUAUAUUCUUGAAAUUAUUAGUCUUUUUUUUUAUUUUGUAGAUAUUAAUUAUUUGAUUUUUGUAUUUUACUUUAUGUGGUUUGUAGAUUAUUAUAUUUAGUUUUGAUUAAUAAAUAGAAAUUUGUUUUAUUAUUAGUUGUUGAACUUGAUAAUUUGCUACGUAAGAUUAUAUUUUGUUUAAUUCUAAUAUUUUAGUUUAUGGUAAUGAGUAGUAAUUUUUAACAAGGUUUUAUAAUUUUAAAUAAAUAAGCCAUGGAAAGAUAUUUUACAAGAAAAAAAAAAUUAUUUCACAAGAAUCAGAUCCCGAGCAACAACAACAAAAUUCUACUAACGAUUUUAGUCAACAAUCGUCUAAGUAAAGUUGUGUUGAAUUUGAUUUAAAUACUCUUCUGACAUAUCCUGAAUUGAGAAAUUUUUUUUUGAGUAUCAUGAUCAAAAUGAAAUUAGAAGAGCAUAUUUGCAGAAAGGGUCACUGAUACUAUCAUACCAUGUUUUCACAAUAUGAAAAAUUGUCAUGGAUAAUUAUAGGUUUUUAGAUAUUUUUAUUUUGAAGUAUUAAAUGAAUAUAUUGAAUUUACAUUUUUCUUAAUUUAAUGUUAAAAUUUUUAUUUUAUGAAUUUUAACAUAUUUAUUUUUUUACUUAGUAUUUUAAUUAUAACACCACUCAAGAAAAUUCUUGAGUCUGCCCCUGCUAAGAGGGAAUCCACUGGUGAGGAGAAAGGUCAUGGCAACUGAUGCAAUGAAACCAAUUGAAUUAAAACCGAUGAACACAGAAAAGAUUGGAGGGUUUUUACUCAUGACAGCCUCUCCGAGUGUCAUGGUUCUAGAUCUCUUCUGAACGACGUGGGUGCCGACGGUCGUAGAAUUUUUACUCUCUGCUAACCAAAAACCACUUGGUGGGCUCAGAAUUGCUUGGUAUGUGAUCGUUGCUAUCAGGACUGGCACAACCAUUAAUGAGUUUUUAGUUUCACUUGAUGAUUCCGUAACCUCUUUCAUCAGUUCCUUCCAUAGGUUCCAUGAACAACAAGAUCGCAAUAUUUGCUCGUUGUUAAGGCUUUCUGCUUUGGUUUGGAUAUGAGCAGGGCCUGUUGUGAUUUCUUGGGCUUUCACAGCUCCAGCUUGCUGAAACAUCUGAUAAAUAUGAAUAUCAUACAAAUCACCUCCACUUUGGAGCAGAAGAUCUAGGACAUCCUUCGGCGUAAAGCCGUUUGAGGUUAUGGCAUUUGCGUUAACCCUGGAAACCACUGCUUCUUGACCAAUUAACAGAGCUAUAAUCUGCAAAUGAUAUACAUCCAUAAUUUACAACUUCUGUAAAGGAUUCAAUGUGGAAUUAAACAUAACUUUUUAGAAAAUAUCGACAACGCAAUCAGUACAAUCUAUUCUUCCUUAGAAUUUAGGGUAGUCUAGGAAUUAAAGAGAAUUUAAUUAGAAUAACAGGCUUUGGACUCUAGCAUGAUCAAAACUAGGAUUUAGUCGCUCAUCUACUUCAACUUAUACGUGACAUCUUUCCGCAACCAGAACGCUGUAGAAGAAAUGUAGUUUGGUAUUUAUUACAUUUCCAAUUAAAUAAUGAUUUGCAUAAGUUUAUUGAUAAUUAAAGUUAAAUUUCAUUUGUCGAGAAAGUAAUGAAAGAUUUUUAAUUUUAACUUUGAUUUACAAGUUAAUAAAUAAUCAUAAUUUUAUUAAUUAAUUUAAUUAAUUAUAUAAAUUUAUCUUUAAUUAUAGGAAAUUGAAAAAAAAAAUAGGUUUCAAAUCUCACGAUUUCUUUUUAGAUUUAUAUAUUAUAUGUGUAUAUAAACAAUGGUAUAUAUAUAUUGUAAUUAAUAAUUUUAUAAAUUAUAAUUUUGUAAUGUUAACACAAAAUAAAAAAUAAAUAUGUUUACAUUUAAAGUACAUAUACAUAUAUAUACUAAAAGUAUUUUAAUAUAUACAAUAGUAAUUAUAUUCUUUAUAAAUGAACUUAAUAUAUAACGAAUAUAUAUUAAAAGACAUUAUAUGUCAAUUAAUAAUUAUUGUUUCAUGAAUUAAUUUAAUUAACUAUAUGGAUUUGUCCUUAAUUACAAAAAAUUAAAAAAAAAAAUAGGUUUCAAAACUAUUUUAAUUUCACAAUCUCUUUAGGUUUAUAUAUUAUAAGUAUAUAUAAAUAAAUGUAUAUAUAUAUAUAUUAUAAUUAAUAAUUUUAUAAAUUAUAAUUUUUUUAAUGUUAACAUAAAAUAGAAAGUAAAUAUGUUUAUAUUUAAAAUAUAUAUUAAAAUAUUUUAGUAUAUAUAUAAUAGUAAUUAUGUUUCUUAUAAAUUAACACAAUAUAUAAACUAUAUAUAUUAAAAGACAUUAGAAGUUAAUUAAUAAUCAUAGUUUUAUAAAUUAAUUUAAUUAACUAUAUGAAUUUGUCUUUAAUUUCAUGAAAUUAAAAAAAAUUAAAUUCCAAAACUAUUCUAAUCUCAAAAGCUCUCUUUAAUUAUAUAUAUUAUAAGUUUAUAUAAACAAUAGUAUAUAUAUUAUAAUUAAUAAUUUUAUAAGUUAUAAUUUUUAUAAUGUUAACACAAAAUAAAAAAUAAAUAUAUUUAUAUUAAAAGUAUAUAUAUAAUAGUAAUUAUAUUCCUUUAUAAUGUAAUAUAAUAUUCAUAUUAUUUGAAUAUAAUAAAUAAUGUAAUAAUUUUUUAAUUUAAAUCUAUUAAUGUCAUCACAUUAAUAAUUAGAGUAAUCAUACUUUGAUAUCUUUGUUAGUUUUUAACAAAAAGAAUUGCUUGUAAAAUUAGUAAAAUUGUAUAUUUUUAAUUAUAUUAUUAAAAUAAUAAAAAAUAUUUUAUAAAUGAUAAUCGAGUUUGGGUAAUGGAUGUUCAAUGAGUGGUACUUGAACUGUAUCCGAAUCCGAUACGGAUAGUAAAAUCAUUACCUGAAUCUGUCUCAAACACGAUUACAAGAUACUCCAAUUUUAUAUAACUGGAUCGAGUAUUCACAAGUAUCUUAUAAUAAGGUACCCAUUACUAUCUCUAACCAAAAUCAAAGUCUUGAUUUCAGUGCCUUAAAACAACUAAAACAACGGACUGAACUAAAUACAUAAGCUAAUAUCGCAUUACAAAAGAAAGAACAAUAAAAUAAACAAAAAGACAAACAAGGCUUUAAAAACAAGUUAAAUGCACGAACAUUGUUCGCUAUCAAAAUGGCUAAGCGAACAUUGUUCAUACAUUACAGUCUGGCUAUCAAAAGUCUCAUUGUCGAUCAAUUUCUGAAAUUUCUUUUAGUUGAUGAUUGUGCCUUUUUUAGUGGUCAGGAAAAUUCUAAAUACCCUGUAACAUCUGAUAAUGCAUGUGAAUAUACUGCUUGAACCUGAAACCCUUGGAAUAUAUCAGAUAAAAACAAUAUAAAAACUAGCAUUAAAAGUCUGACAGUGGGAGUUUCCUUUUCAUUGAUGCCCCUUUUUCCCCCCAAUUCUGUUAAAGGUGAUGCUUUUGGUUGAUACUUGCUCUUAUCCACCUUAAGAUUCUCACAGAAACUUUUCUUUUUUCUUUUGGUGUGCCACUAAAAGUGCAGAGGUGACGAUUGUGUUCAUAAUUGGGCAGCAUUUCGGGCUGGAACAAAGAAUGAAAACAUUGAGUGGUGCGUAGAGCCCCUAGCCUGGGAUUUAGUGAUACUUACAAAGUAGGUGAGUUGACAACACUAAUUUGUACACAAAGAAAUAUUGUUUUUUUGCUCGUGGUUCAUUUGGGUACAGAGAUGGGUCAAAACAGAUUGCUCUAUUUGACAGUUGUCUUUAUUCUUUUGGAGGGGGACAUGGAACAUGUGCAUGCAGUCACAAGCAACUACUGAUCUGCUGGAGAGAAUAAGUGAUCUUGCAAAUUUUUAGCUUAGGAGAUAGAUGUAUACAAAUAGUGCUAAUAAUCCGUACAGAUUGUCCUAUUAGCCUGUUAAAUUUCUCUCUGUAAAUUAAUAUAAAGUUUUCAUAGGAUAAGAUGAUGAAAAUAAGGAUAAUAUGAUGAAAAUAAAAUAAUCUGAUACAAGUAUGUAAUCCAAAGAAGCCCUAGAAAAUGUCAACCUUUGGAUGCUAUCCAUAAAUGGAACAAAAAACUUAGCAAACAAUUCAACCUUGCCAUGAAUCUGUGAUCUGCAAACCCAUGUUAGCUUGAAGAUUCAUGGGAAAUAAACGGGUUUCUUCUCCUCAAUUCGUUCAAUUUUGCAAUAUGCAUUGUCAAGUUCUUCUUAUGUUGCUUGUCUACAACAUGUCCAGAUUUGAAGCUGAGUUCAGUGCAAUUGCAGACCCAGAGAUGAAUCUUUUUCCAUUUAUGGAGAUUAGGGAAUUCCAUCGGUGUAGAAAAGAUGCUAUGUUGUCAAUUGAGCUUGAUAAAUUAUGGAUAGACCGACAUAAAUCAAACUUUGGAGAAUGAUUACAAAUAGAUGAUCAUAUACGCUUUAAUUUUUUUUCAAAAAAUAUAAGGACAAAUUAAAUAACACAAACUUAAUUAUUCCUUCAAUUUUAUGAAAAAAAAAAGAAUAUUGUUACCAUAGAAAAAGUUGUGCUACCUAUUCUUCUAUGACUAAAAUUACUAUGACAAUUCGUAACCGAACUUCAAUAAUUGAUGCAUCUAUUUUUUAUUUAAAAAAAUGAAUUCAAAUUUUUUUAGAUAAUAAAAAAAUUAUAGAGAUAUUUGAAUUUUUAUUUGUCCGAACAUUUGAAUGAAAUUUCAGAUUAAAUAAAAUACAAUAAUUAUUACUGUCGAAAUAAAUCAAAACUUGAUAGAUUCACGAGAUGUGAAACAAACAGGUACUUUAUUUAUAUAUGGAACAUACAAAAUUACACACUUUAUUUACUUAUUAUACAAACUUAAUUUUACAUCACUUAGGAAGACAAACUCACAAAUACUAGUAUUAAUUUGGUACAAAACUAUUUUCAAUUUUUUAUUUUUUCAAGAUUUUUUUUUCUAUUUUUAAUCUUAUCAUGAGAAACCGGCAAAUCUUGGAUACAUACCCUAUGUCCACAUCCCGUAAAUAUAUAUAUAGCUUGAGUUCUAGAUUAUUCAGGCUCCCACCUUCUAGGAGUUGAGAGUGAAAACCAUCCACCUAAGGGUUUGCUUGCUGCGUCUGGUCUUUCGGGGGCUCUGCUGUCUUGUUCCUAGGUCCGACAAAUGCCUGGAUCAAGCAUGGAGGUUCAGGUUUCCUGUUUUUCAACUUAACCAACAGCUGGAUCAAGCACCGCAAAAUUAAAGGCGCAGCAGCCGUGAUCAAGGCGAGUUGAAACGUUUCUCCAUCCGGGGUAACAGCAAAGAUUGCAGAUCCAUAAGUUAUAAUCAUUGAAACGCCAGCAACCCUUACUUCAAACUUGAAAGGAAAAUUAUGCGUGAGAGACAUAAUGACAAGUACCGCUGCAGAAAAGGCUAGGGUGUUGGAAGUCAAGAAAACGUAGUAGGCAUCUGAGUCAGAUGCACAGAUAGCAGUGCCUGCUAUAUGGUCAGCCUUGGUUUCCUGCCAUACACCGCCAGGGGGGUUAACCCCAGCUUGGAAGGUCACGGCAGCUAUAAGGGUCGCAACUACCAAGAGAGCGUUGCGGGCGUCGGCUCUAUUCUUAUCCCUGUCCUCCUCGUUUGCACCUUCCUUGUACUGAAAAUAACGACACCAGUCCUUGAAAGUAGUCCCAACCAUUGUUUUCUCUUG